GAGGUGGAAGAGGACUCAAAGAAGCCGUUUCCUAAGCACAAGCCUCCCAAGAAAGGUGUGGAGCCGAAGAAGGGCAAGGGAGAAAAGCCACCACCAAAGCACAAGCCACCACAUGAGGGACACAUUCUAGUAGAGAAGGUGGAAGAGGACUCAAAGAAGCCUUUCCCCGAACACAAGCCGCCGAAGAAAGGCGAGGAGCCGAAGAAGGGCAAGGGUGAGAAGCCGCCACACCACAAGCCACCACACAAGCCUCCCGAGAACUAAUUAUGCGUUCUUCAAUGAAUGUAUAUGUCGUGUGCUUUUCACGGGUUCAAAUAAGAGCUGGUCCAUAGAGUGUCUGGCACUACCGUGUUAGCUGGUUCGCUGUUUGUGCUCCAUGGGGAUAUAAAAUGUAUGUACUUUGCUUGGGCAUGUCCUUUGACUUUGCCUACGUUGAUAUAUGCUGAGUACUUGCUAGCCAUGAGCUUUCCUUUCUAAUUAUGCCUUUAAUUAGUAACUUACGAAUUAUGGACAUUGUCCCCUUGCAAUCUUAAGUAAAAAUAAAUAUGGGGUUUAUCCAUAAUUUUAAAUCAGAAAAUUGGUUGACCAAAGCUUCUUCUAAUCAAAGUUGGAGGAAGACAUGGCCCGUCUUUGUAGGUUUUUAAUAUGAUCCAGUUAUUCUAAUGCCUAUUAAUUACAACUUUCCACACCAUCCAACGUAUUAAUUUUGUAGAUUACCCUUGAUAUCAUGACACAAUAGUGGAGGUAUUUAUUGAGAUGAUUUACACACAUAGGUUGAAUCAUAAUGAUUUUCACCCCCUCGAAAACUCAAAUCAUAGAUUGAAACAGUGAUGCAUGGAACCAUUUAAGUUUGCCCCAGUGGCCACCUUUCCAACAUGGAAGGGGGAGGUGGAAUGUUCGAAUUCCCACCUUCUCAAGGGGUUGGGGUGGGGAUGAUUUAUUUUCAGGUAUAGGUUUCAACUCCCAUGCUCUGUAAGGAGGCAGGGCAAAAGUCUCAAAGUGAGAGUUAGUAGGAAUAGAGUAGGACCGACAAAAAAAAAGAAGAAAAAAAAAAAAGAGUGAUGCAUGGAAGCAUGCAUGCAUUUAUUGAUUUUGCAUAUUGCUAUAUGAACUUGUUAUCCCUCUCUUUGCACUUCACUACCUUAUUAUUUUCUUGAUCCUUCACGGGGAAUUUACAAGGGCAAAAUUACCAAACAACUCCAAAACCUAUUGUGCUUGUAUAAAUUGAUUCCUAAAUAUUUUAAUCAUGUCAAUUUAGUCCUAAAUAUUUUCAUGAUUUGCCAAUUUAUUCAUAAACUCUUUGUCAAUUUAGUCAUUUUAGCUAAUUUUGGCCCAAAAAACACUGACGCGGGUCUAGUCAGCAUCAAUCAUUCUAUUACUACUACUACUACUAUUGGCUUGUUUUUGUGGCCCUUGCCUAUGGCCAACAAUGGUUAGCUAGUGACCUCCAUGCCCUUGCUAGCUAAGAGUUGGAAAAAAAGGUAAAGAAAAACGAAUACAAAAUUCAGAAAAAAUUAUCCACAUCAGCUUUUUUUCAGCAACAAUUAGUUGAAAUAACUAAAUUGACAAUUCGUCCAAAGGUUUAAGACUAAAUUGAUAUAAUUAAAAUAUUUAGGCUGAUUGGCAAAUUGUCAAAAAAUUUAUAACUAAAUUGGCCAAGUUUAAAACUUAGGACCGAAUUAGCACAAGUAUGAUGGAUUCAGAUUUUUUUUUUUUUUUUGAUAUUUUCCAAUUUACAAGUUAACAUAGAAUACUCUCAUUUUAUCGUGAACUUGUUUAAUCCGAUCAUGAUAUAGUUGAGGAACUUCAUGAAUAACAGGUUUCUCACUAUACUUAAUUGCAUAGGAUACUAAAAAAUAAUCAUGUUAGAAAGACCUGGACGUGUGGUUAGUAUUGGAUGUGGUGUCGGCGAAUAUAUUAUCUUCAUAAAACUGAUAUGCCUAACCGACCUAAGUUUCAUAUAUGGAAACAAUGAUUAUAUGUCAAGAAAGCGAUGGUAUGGGAGACUCCAGAAACACGAUAAGAAGAUGCGUCCUAAUCAUGCCAAACACGAUUGCUAGAAUGACGAAGCCCAUCACAUGCUCCAGUUUCACUGUUCAAAUUGUUGCACGAUGAAGGGAACAGCAUGUGAGCAUUUGAGAUCCUGAUCAGUUGAGUCCCGGUAGAGAGAGGGAUUUUGCGGCGUCUUUUCUUGGUUUCCCAUUUCAGAUGGGGACCCUUUGAUUUCAUACGUUUAACUAAAACGUGGAGGCAUUAGAGACGAUGAAAAAAGGGCCCUCCACUCAUUAUAAUCUUGUCUAUUAUUUUCCUUAUAUUUUGCACAUUUUUCCUUAUCUCCGCAAGCAACAUUUUGCACGAAAACUAGGGGGGAUGAACAUUGAAACAUUGUUAGGUGAGCUCAUGAUAUGGGAUGGAUAGGUGGAUUUUUAUUAGAUGCAUUGGAUGCUCGAGCCCUUCGGUUUAUGUAAUCUCCAUUCACGCAUGCUGGGUGUUUUCGUCCACCUAAAUCGUGAUAUGUGUUUGGAGGCACUGUAAAAAUUUUGUCAACCAUCACCUAAGUUCUUUUUUUUUUCUUUUUUUUAAUCAAAAUCACAUAAGUUUAAGUUGUUAAAUGAAUGCGCAAUCUAUUAAAUAAAUAAUGUUAUACUCCCUCUUGCGCAUAAACUAGACUUUGAUAUAAGAUUUAGAAAGUGAGCACCAUUUUCAUAUAAAAAUACUUUAAAUCUCCAUCUCAUGCAUAAACAGGUUCAGUUCUUGAUUCCAAUCUUCUAUAAUCAAUGUUCAUGGGUUGGUUUCUAAUUUGAUAUAUGAAACCAAUCACUCAUACUAACAUUAAAGCUUGGGAUCAAGAAUUGAGUCAACUUGGUUUCGAUUGUCCCCACUAAAACCGAAGCACAUAAGUUGAAAAUAUAUAUAUUAAGAAAAAUUUUCGUGGGAUCACUAAUAAGUAUUUAAAAAGCUUAAAUCUGUUAUUUAAUAUCUCAAGCAUGGUAUUCACACUAAAUCUCACUAAACAACCUUAUAAGUCUCCGACACCCUUUUGGUGUGUGCGCGCACGGCAUCUUCCUUUCCCUUCUCCCAAGGACAACCUGCAAUUACUUAAAUUCAAACAUGAUGUCACCGCGCAUGUCAACCACGACAGCGACUUCACCGGAUCGUGCGCCGGAAUGAAUAAAGACCCGAAAGAGAGACAGAGAGAGAAACGGGGUGGAUCCCCUCGGAAGGCUACAGGGUUUACGAUCGUUGAUUGUUAAAGGUCGAAAAGGUGGACAUUUCGCCCCGUUGGGAUUAGUUACGAUAAAAUCUUCUUUUGAGUCGAACAGCGCCGACAUCGGUGCUGCGUAUUUUACCUGGAUUUCAGUCUUGAUUCUGCUGAGAAAGACGUAGACUAGACCCAGGUUCUUGACACCUCAUUCUCCCUCAUCCUUCCGUUUUUCUGUGGUUUCCGUCAUCAUGUCAAACUUCUUCAUCCUUGCACUACGACUAGCCUAAGCAAAUAUCUGUAUAUUCUCGUUAUCAGUCUUUUCGUGUUACUUGAAUUCAAUAUUUUAAAAAUUAAGCCGCGGCAUCUCUAUCGUGUUCGGAAAGUAACUUUGAAUUUCUCAUAUAAAAUCAACAUGUGAAGUGAUAAUUUUAGUUGAGCCAUGGUAUCAGUGAGAGUUGAUUGGUUGACUAAAUCGGAUGAAAACAUCAAGGUUUCGCUCUUUAAUAGAGUGCCCAUUGAGUUGCUUAGUAUAUUCUUUUUUAUCUUUAUUUUUUGUCAUUUAGUUUAGGAGUCCUACCCAACUUUAAAAUAUAUAUAUAUAUAUAUAUAUAUAUAUAUAUAUAUAUAUAUAUAUAUAUAAGAAAGAGGACUCAAAGUUUCACAAUGUAAAUCAUUUUUAAUAAUUAUACGGUUCAUUGAAACUUUUGGCUCUAAAUACUUUGCACGGAUAGGCGCAGAUUGCCCUGUCUAGACAUUUACGUCUAUCAAAAAAAGCUUACGUGCCGUCUAAUUUAUUGUAGAGGAUAAUUCAUAUAAUUAUACCACGACAUACAUGAAAAUAAUACAUAUCUUACUUGACAGCUCUUAGAAAAAACAUAAAUGAAUCAGUUUGAAACGAAUCUAAUGCUUCAUUGAAUAACUAUACAAAAGUAUUUCGAGCAUGGUAUGUCGGUAAUAUCCUCUAAAUCAUUUGACACAUUGCUAGUUUUUUAUCAUCUAGAAUAGGGUUUAAAAGUACCAAGUCAUCUCAUGUUACGAACUCAUGUCUCAAUUAUAACUAGAGCACGAGCUUUUCCAUCAGCAAUUUAUGUCAUGCUUAUAAAGCGUUGGUUUACUAUAAGAAAUCAAUAGCACGUCGUUUGUCUUUCAUUACGUAUCAAAUUAUCCUCUUACGAACCCUCUUUCUUGCUGAGUUUUCUGCUACUAUAGCUAGAAUCACCCUUUCACCACAAAAGAUACAGAGACGAUCUUGCAGGCCGACGUGGUCCUGCAACGAUAAUGCCAUCGCAACCUAUGGGAGCCACACAAAAGGUGGUCGGCAUUGUUUCUCUCUGCCCCAUUCGCCACACGUGCGUGAAACUGCACCCGAUUCUUAUUCGCCCGGUUAUGGCACAAUCUAGCUUGUCUCUGCCAAUCGAAGGGCACCGUCCUAACUGACAUCGGCAGUGACGUCAAAAUUAGAAAAUAAUUAGUAAUACCAUAAUAAUAUAUUCAUUGAAUAUAUGUUUUUGAAUCUAAAACCUCCAUGCAAUUAAUGGUUGCACUUGUUUGAUCAGGAGGCUGCAGGAUUUGCGAUCGUUGAUUGCGAUUUUGGUGGCAAAAGCAAGUGUGAAUCGUCGAAAAGGUGGACAUUUCGCCUCGUGGGGGUUAGUUACGACAAAAUCCUCUUUUGACUCGAACAGCGCCGACAUCGGUUGCGAGGGGCGAUCGUUGUGCGUAUUUGACCAGGAUCUCAGUCUCGAUUCAGCUUUGAAAGACGUAGCAGACUCGACCAAGGUUCUUGACGUCUCAUCCCUCAUUCUUCCUUUUUCUGAGGUUUACGGGAUUUAUGUCCAAACUUCUUAAUCCUUCCACGGCAACUUAUCCUAAGGAAAUUUAUCUGUUGUCGUUAUCUAGUCAUUUCGUGUUUCUUGUAAUCAAUAUUUAUAAAAUUAAAUCAUGUCAUAUCAGUCAUAUUUGAAAAGUAUUUUGAAAGACUUAUUAAAAAUCAAGAGUGAUUGGUUUCAUAGUGACUCGAUUCUCACCCAAAAACUGUGAAAUGACCCACUUGAUCUUGAAAUUGAACUAAACCGGAACUAUUUCUUGGAUGGACCCGAGAAUUGACGAGGAUAUCUUUCUUUUCUUUUUUCCCUAUGUAGGAUCAUUCGUUUGCUCACUCAUUAGUCAGCAUAAUUUCAUACUUUGUAACACCCCCAUAAAUAGUAACAGACCUCCGCCCAAAUCUCUCAUCCCUUACUUCUUCACUGUUGCUAUUUAGGAUUCCCAAUCUCCAUUGGAAUAAUCGUUCUUAGAAAAUUAAAGGAAAAGGUAUGUAACAAAACAAACACCGAAUUUUUGGGGGGAAAGGGGCGCCUCUUGCCUCUCUUUCAACCCCCGGCACCGUCUCCUGGUACGUCUCCUCUCCUUGUUCGCAUGGCUAUCUAUGGUUAGGGUUCUGCCCGCCUGCUUGCUGCUGUGAUUCAUAGUUGAGAUGGAAUCGGAGUCGAUGAGGGCUCGAAAUGAGGAGAAAGGGACAAGUUCCCAUGGUGGACCUCCCAUUCUGACUAAGGAACCUUCGUUGUUGACUGUUAUGGGAGGAAAUUCGAGUUCGGACACCAUGUCUGGUCCGAACGAAGCGCGAGUUCCUCGCCCAAAUGGUGGGGCACGACUUGUCCAGCGAGGAAGGUCCCGCUCAGCUAAGCCUCAAGGCAGGGAUGCCUCUAAGAAUCCAUCAGGGAAAUCGUGGGUUGCGGUGGCAAGAACCGUGCCCAAGGGCUACGAUCUGGUGUAUACCCCACCGAAUAUGGUGAACAAUAGACCUGUGAUUGAGAUCACUGAUCAAGAUCUGGAAACUGCAGAUCCCAAGAUGUUUGAAUGUUUAAUGGGCCAAUUCAUUGGUUGCCGAAUGCCUUUUAAGGUAGUUGAGGAGGCUAUGAAGAAAGUGUGGGGGCCGAACCUUGUUGAAGUCCUGUCAAAUGGCAAAGGUCUUUUUAUGUUUCGCAUUCCUGAUAGGGAAUUCCGCCGAAGUGUGCUUGAAAGUGGUCGGAUGACGGUUGCUAGAAUACCACUUGUAUUGCAGCAAUGGUCCCCUGGACUUGAGCUGAGGAGGGAGAUCCACCGUACGGUUCCUGUUUGGGUUAGACUAUCGAAUAUUCCCUUCUCGUGUUGGUCCGCCCACUUCAUCGGGAGGGUUGCAAGUGCGCUUGGCAAACCCCUUUAUGUGGAUAAGAGAACAGAACAGGUGAGUAGCCUUACCUUUGCUAGGGUCUGCAUUGAAAUUUCUGCUGAUCAACCUGAUUGUAAAAUGAUUAAGACAACCCAUAAUGGUACGAAGUGUGAAAUAGGAGUGGAGUUUGAGUGGCGACCCACUGCCUGUGCUGUAUGUGGCAUUUUUGGCCACAAUUGUGCAAUGGCUAGUAGGCCUGGUAGACCUGAAACAAAACACGCUGAUACUGGUCGUCCUUCAGAGGAGUCUGAACCUCUUAGCAAGGCCGCAAGUGGGAGCAGCUCUCAGCAAACCAGACCACCUUCGAUGGCGUCUGAGGAUCAAAGGGGAAUGUCUUCGGGUAUGCCUGUGGUCCCUCUUCUGGAAUCUCCAAUUGAUGCAGGACAGAACAGAAGCUCCUCUGGUGGUUCCUUCCCUCAUGUUCAGCUGGUUGUGGAUCUGGAGGAACCUCUUCCAUCGCACCAAAGUGACCUUGCUCAGCAUGGGAAUCAGGUCAAAGACAAAGAGAAGGAGCAGGAGCCGCAGAAUCUGAAUGCUUCGCUGAUACCAUUCUCGGAGGAAGGGCUGUCUCGCAACCUUAAGGAAGCUGUGCCUGGCCAAAAGCCUCCUAAAGCCCCUGCUAAACCACUUGGAAAAAACACUCAGGCUUCUGACUUGGCCCCGGAUUCCGUGCCGUUUGGAGACCAGAAAGAUGAUACCAGCAAUUCAUCUAAUGAAGACGGUGGCCACACGCCUAGACCCGCUCCUUUGAGUGGUCCUUCGGAACCUACUGGGGUUGGUUCGAGCCAAGAUCAGCUUCUCCUUUUGCUGCUCGACCCGCUGGGACCUUCGCCUGCGGAGGACUCGAAACCAAAUAAAGGUAGGCGUAGGAACGCCAAGCGGAAAUAAUUCUAUCCUUUUGCUUCUAUGUUUUUUGGCUUUUGGAAUGUUAGAGGUAUUAUGAACCCUGUCAGAAGGGCGGAGAUUAGGAAGUUUGCUGUUGCUAAUAAGCUUUGCCUUAUGGGGCUUUUUGAAACUAAGGUCCCUGAGCCUUUGUUUGGUUCCAUUUCUUCCAAUAUUUUGAGAGGCUGGAAUUGGAUUGCGAACUAUGAUUUUGCUCCUCGCGGUAGAGUCUGGAUUGGAUGGGAUCUAGCUACCAUCAGUUUUGAGUUGAUCUCUGCAAAUGACCAAGCCAUCCAUGGGUGCAUGAAGGGGUUAUCUUCUAAUUUUACUUGCUGUGUUUCUGCUAUUUAUGGAGAGCAUUCCUUUGUGAGGAGGCGGCCUCUUUGGUCUGAUCUUAUCCAGUGUGACGAUCUUUUUCAAGACUAUGCCUGGAUAGUAGCGGGAGAUUUCAAUGCAAUCAAGGACCCUUCUGAUCGCGUUGGUAGCUCUAAUGCCUGGAUCCCCUGUUUUGAUGAAUUCAAGCUUUGUCUGGACCAAACGGAACUUGAGGAUCUCAGGUACUCUGGCCUUCGUUUUACCUGGUCGACUUCGGUGGGUGCAAAUAGGAAGAUGCGAAAAAUUGACAGAGUUCUUGUCAACUCUAAAUGGAGAAUGGACUUUUCAUACUCGGAGGCGUCUUUUCUCAAUCCUGGAAUUUCUGACCAUACUCCUAUGGUUGUCAGGGUUGUGGAUCCGCGUCCAAGGAGGAAGCCGUUUAAGUAUUUUGAUUUCUGGGUUGACCACCCGGAUUUCCAUUCUACGGUUUUGCAGGUGUGGGAUAGUCAAGUUUGGGGAUUUCCCAUGUUUAAAUUAGUCUCGAAGCUGAAACUGUUGAAAUCUCGCCUCAAGGAACUUAAUCUGAAGGCUUUCUCGGAUAUUUCUCUAAGAACUCUUGAAGCGAGGGAAGCCUUGCGUUCUACUCAGCAUCUCCUUCAGUUGGAUCCUGAAAAUAUUCCACUAGCUGAACUUGAAAGAGGGCAGCGUCGUGCUUUUAUAGACCUUCGUGGUCAAGAGGAAUCGUUCUAUAAGCAAAAAUCAAGAAUUAGAUGGCUGAAGGAAGGAGAUCGCAACACGAGAUUCUUCCAUAACUGUGUUAAAGCUAGACAUCUCAAUAACCGUAUCCUCUCUGUCAAAGACACUGCAGGUACGGUGAUCUCGGAUCCUGAUUUGGUGCCCCAAGUUUUUAUAUCUUUCUUUUCGGAUCUUCUUGCUCCUCGAGUUGGCUUAGCUAAGCCUGAUCUUCAAGAGCUUACUUCUCUCAUUCGAAAGCCGCUAUCCGAUAGCCAGGUAUGUUCCCUAGCUUCGCUCGUCUCUGAUUUGGAAGUUAAGAAGACCUUGUUCUCGCUUGCAAAGGGGAAAGCCCCCGGUCCAGAUGGUUUUACAGCAGAAUUCUUUAAAAGUAACUGGGAUAUUGUGGGCUCUUUAGUUACAGAGGCUGUGAAAGAUUUCUUCUCAGUAGGUUGUCUUCUUAAAGAAGUUAAUGCGACUAUCCUAACGUUAAUUCCCAAGGUGUCGAAUGCUUGUGAAGUAAACGAUUCCAGACCGAUUGCUUGCUGCAACACUAUCUAUAAACUUAUCACCAAGAUCUUGGCCAAUAGAAUUGCGCCUGUACUUCAAGAUAUUGUUAGUCCGUCCCAGAAUGCGUUUGUGAAGGGUAGAAGGUUAAGGGAUAAUAUAUUAUUGGCUCAAGAGCUUUUUGCAGGCUUCCACUUAGACCCAUACCUCCCAAGAUGUGCAGUCAAAGUGGAUUUUUGCAAGGCCUAUGACACUGUGGACUGGGAUUUCCUAGAGCUUACCCUUACUGCCUUCCGGUUUCCUCUGUGGAUUAUUCGCCGGAUUAUGGUUUGUGUACGCACACCUAGAUUCUCUAUUUCUAUUAAUGGGGAGCUUCAUGGCUUCUUCCCAGGAGGCAGAGGCCUUAGGCAGGGCGACCCAAUGUCACCUUAUCUAUUUACAUUGAUCAUGGAAAUCUUCUCCGGAAUUUUGAACCAAAGGUCUUCGGCUAAAGAAUUCAAAUGUUAUUGGCGAUGUAAGUCUCCUAAGCUCACUCAUCUGUUUUUUGCAGACGAUGUGUUCCUUUUUUGCCAAGCAGAUUGGAAAUCGGCUGUGAUCCUUAAAAGAAGCCUCGACAUUUUCUCUUCAUGGAGUGGUCUUCUCCCCAACAAAAAUAAGAGCGACAUCUUUCUUUCGGGAGGCGAUCCUGCUUUGUGCAACAGAAUCCUCCUAGCAUUUGGCUUUCAGGAAGGUAAACUUCCGAUUAGAUAUCUUGGAGUGCCGAUCAUCUCAAAGAGGUUGACUAAGGCUGACUGUACUCAAUUAAUUGAUCGCAUUACCGCGCGAGCCCGCUCCUGGUCCCACAGGUUCCUCUCUUUUGCUGGAAGACUUCAGCUCAUUAGGUCAGUGCUUCAUGCUAUUCAGUCUUUUUGGGCUAGUGUUUUCACUUUGCCCUCUUCGGUUAUUUUGGGGAUUGAAAGCAUUCUUCGUAGAUUUCUUUGGAAGGGCACCUCCUUGGAUAAGGGAGGUGCAAAAGUCUCAUGGGCGGAUGUUUGUUUGCCUAAGGAGGAAGGGGGCCUGGGUAUUCGGUCUAUCAAGGACUGUAACAAAGCCUCAAUACUGAAAUUUAUUUGGAUCCUCUUUACGGAUAAGGAAUCUCUGUGGUGCCGUUGGAUACACUCCAACUUUUUAAAGAAACAUAACUUAUGGGUUGCCCCUCAGCCUUCGAUCUGUGCCUGGAGCUGGAAGAAGAUCCUUCAUCUUCGGGGCUGUUGUAGACAAUCCUUCGGUUGGGAGGUCGGUGACGGCCGGUCUACUUCAUUGUGGUUCGAUAGCUGGUUGCCUUGUGGCCCUCUUCAUCUACAAGUUCCUCAUUCUUUUUUGUUGGACCCCGACGUUCCUGCUAAGGCGACUAUGGCUUCUUUAUAUUCUUAUGUUGGUAGAUCCUGUAAAGUCCGGUUAGAGAAUUGUGGCUUCUCGCUUCCUCCUCUUUCGGUUAAUAACAAUCGUUUUGUGUGGCGUCAUGUUUCUUCGGGGGCCUUCUCCGUAGCUUCUGCUUGGAAUGUCAUCAGAGCUUCUAAAGCCAAAGCACCUUGGACUUCUUUUGUGUGGGAUAAGGAUGUAGCCCCUCGGUUUCAAUUCCUUUUGUGGCUUAUUACUAAAAAUCGCUUGCCAACGCAGUCACUUCUCCUCUCAUAUGGAAGGAUUGAUUACUCGGCUUGCACUUUUUGUAAUACUCAGCUAGACUCGACCAACCAUUUGUACUUUGACUGCAAUCUUUCUAAGACCAUUAUCUACUUUUGGGCAACUAGGUGCAAUUUGCCGUGGAGGAACGGCACUUGGGCGGAAAACCUUGCUUGGGCUAUGAGAUUCCUUGCUGGUAAGGACUUCUCUCACAGUCUUUCUCGCUAUUCCUUUGGAGCUCUUUGCUAUCUAAUUUGGAAGAAGAGAAAUGCUAUGAUUUUCCGAGGGGAAUCUCUUGAUAUUCCCGCUUUGAAGAACCAUUUGAUAAAGAUGGUUAAAGAUAAAGCAAUUACCUAUAAGGAUGUCCCUGACAAUCCAAGGAAUCGGCGUCUUCAGAGGGGUUGGAAUCUCGACCCUAUUAUCUUCACAUAACCCUUUGGGUUUUUUAUCAUUUGAUCUUGCUCGGUCGCCCCCGGUGCGGAUGUUCUGACUCUCGGAUUCCCAGGCGUCCAUGGAGUCUGGUGGCUGAAUCUGGUGGUCGCGUUGUGUCUGUUGUUUGCGCUCUUUUGUCCUUGCCUCUUGAGGUUUUUGCGCGGCUCCCUUCCACUCUUUUGUUCACAAUGAGAGUGUAAGUUUUGGUGCCGUUUGUGUACAUUGGUCCUUAGUUUUUCAUUAUAUUCUUACCUUUACCAAAAAAAAAAAAAACAAAAAAAAAACAAACACCGAAUGAGAGAGGCACGUGACUGUGUGAGACUAAGAUUGAGAGUGAGAAGUGUGAGACUAAGUGAGUAAGAGGAACUGAGGGAGGUACCACAUGAGAUUGAGUGAGAGCAAAUAGGGAUGAGUAGUGAGUGAAAAUGAGAAAUUAGGGUUUUGAGAAUUGUUUUAUAAUAAAAAAAAAAUUAUAUAUAAAAAAACUUAUUCACCUAGUUAAGAUGGUCUGACAGAUCGGUCCACAUUAAAACCGGGAACUAAACCGAUAAUCACUAAUUCCAAAUCACCAAUUCCGUCUGGUUUCAUGCUCACCCCUAUUAAAAAUAACAUGUGAAGUAUUAAUUAUAGUCAAGCCAUGGUAUCGGUGACAGUUGAACAUUUGACUAAGUUGGAGGUAAACACCAAAGUUUGUGUCGUGUUUCGCUUUCCUUUUUAAAAGAGUGCCCAUUGAGUUGCUUGCAAUGCCCAUUGAGUUGCUUGCUAAAUUCUUUCUUUAUGUUUAACUUUUUAUUAUUUAGUUUAGACCCUUACGCAAACUUUAACAAAAGAUAAACAAGAACAUAGACUGUCAGAAAGAUCACUCAACAUUUUCUUUUUUCUUUUUUGGGUCGAAGAUGACUCAAAAUUUUACUAUGCGGAAUUUCUAUUGAUAAUACGGGUCCCUAGAGUUUUUGGCCUCGAAUACUCAUCACAAAUGUGCGCAGGUCAGUCUCGUCUGGACGUCCACUUCCAUCAUAGAAGGCAAACAUGCCCUCAACGUUACUUUUUAGAAUAAUCCAUAGAAUUGUUACCCGCCUAUGCAAUGACUACAACAAUACUACAUAUCUUUAUGCAUCAAAACCUUUAUUACUCGACCACUCAUAGAAGAACAUAAAGUUAAUCGGUUCGAAACAAACCUAAUACUUUGCUAAUCAAUUGUGCAAAAGUAGUUUGAGCAUGGUACAUUGCGGAUCCUGUCUAUAUCAUUUAACAAGUUUCUACUUUCCUUGUCAUCCCAAUUGGGUUGGGAAGUACUAGGUCGCCUUACUUUACAAAAUUCAACCCACAAUAAUAAGUAAAACACGAGCUUUCCAAUAAGCAAUUUAUGGUAUGUUAGUAUAGUCUUGAUUUAUUAUAUAGAAUCAAUAGUGUGUCUUGAUUAUUUGUGAGAUUAUCCUCUUACAAUUACACUUUCCUUAGUAGGACAGGCAAUGAGGUUUACGGUACUAUAGUUAUAAUAACUUUUUUCACUCUUAAAUUACAAGGUUUCAGCAAGAAAUGCGUUUUAGAAAAAACCGGCAAGAUCAUGAUUGUUCAAGCGACGGUCCCCUUCCGCUCCGACAAUGGAGCUCUCUCUCUACCGCCUGAGUAGCAUCCUCCUCCCUUUUUGGGUAGGUCUCGAUUCUGCAGCUUUGGAAUCCUCCCGCAUCGUAAUCCAUCUGUCAUCUUCUUCCACCCCAGCACCAAUGACACAGAGUAUAUUGGAGUUGGAAAACCCUAAACCCAUCCCUCGUUUCAUCGCACAUAAUAAACCCUAAAACCCAUCAUCUCACCAUCGCCUCUGUAGCAAGCUCUCUUCCCCAAUCUCUAUCAUUCCCACUCACCACAUCAUCCCCUUCUGUCUUCUCCCGCAGAAUCAGAGCUCCCUUGAUCCAUAUUUAGCUUUUGCCCUAUACAGAAAAACCAACUGAUUACUGAAGAAUCAGGCUAGCUCUCUAUCUCUGUUCCCGGUAAUGCUGUUGUUUUCAGAAGAUGGCAAACCAGUAUGACGAAGAGCGAAGGUUGGUUGCCCUCUGCAAAAGUCUGGGCAAUCUAUGGUCUGAGGAAGUCGUGGUGGAUAUCCCAGGUGAAAUCCCUGAAGAAAACCUGCUAGCAUGUUGGAAAACGUUAUAUGGGAAGUUUUUUAACAAGCCUAAUGUGAAUUUUAAUGCAUUCAUCACUACAAUGAAAAAAGUUUGGUGGAACAAAAGUUUUACCUAUGCUGUAAUAGAGCCUGGAUACUACUCAUUUUCCUUCAAAUCGGAGGCUGAAAAAUAGCGAAUAUUAGACUCAGAGCCGUGAUAUUUCUCAAGCAAUUUAUUGGUUCUAAAGCAAUGCGAUCCCGACACCCCUGAUAUCUGUUAUGAAUUUAACCAUUGUGACUUCUGGGUAAAUCUAUUUGGCCUCCCUUUUGGAAGAGUUACAUAUGAGGUAGUUACUGAAAUUACAUAAAAAAUCAGAGAUGUUGCGGAGGUGAAAUUAGAAGCGAAAGAGAAUAGCAAUUACAAGGUGGGUAGGGCCAGAAUUAAGUUGAAUUUGGAAAACCCUCUUAAAAUUGGAGUUCUUGUGAUCUUGACAACAAGAGUUUGUGGGUAGAAUUCAAGUACGAAAGGCUACCGCAUUAUUGCUAUUCAUGUGGGAGAAUUGGCCAUUAUGCGACAUUUUGCAAAGAAAUACUAUAUGAGGAAUCAGAGCUAGCUGAGAACUUACCAGGCUGCUUUGGACAUUGGCUAAGAGCGGAAGCGUGGGAGCUUAGUCCUUAUGGGAAAAUCUUUUAUGGUAAACAAUAAUUUCAACAUGAAAAAGAGGAGAGUGUGCCCGAAACCCCCAUUUCACCAGUCCCUAUAAUAGAACGGCAGCAACAUGAUCAAUAUCUGCAGCAACAUGAUCAAUAUCUGCAGCAAACUCAACAUCUCGCCCUAUUGGAUAAUGUAGAAAAUUCAUGUUCCAAAGAAUGCAACAAUCAUCUUCCUUCUCAAGCACUAGUUCUCUUGAAAGAGAAGGGCCCUCAAAAAAGAGGAAGCAGUUGCCUUGAUGAGGAAUCUGUCAUGGUACUAUAUGAGGAACAGAGGAAGGAGAUUGAAGCAUAAAUGGUUGACAAUUUUGCAGGGAAAGGACCAAACAAAGAGAAAACUAAAAGCGCCAAACGUUCUUCCUCAAAAAAAGGAAAACGAUUCUGUCCUUAUGGUGCUCAAACAUCCAACAUAGCAGUGGUUGAUACCACUCAGCUAGUGGAAACCCCUAUUCGUGUGGCAAACAAGUCUGACCAGUGGGCUUUGGUGGCUAGCCCUAAUAAGCCACCCACUCAUCCAUGAAGAUUUUAAGCUUGAAUUGUCAAGGGCUGGGCAAUCCCUUGACAAUUCAAGCUCUAAGAGUCCUAGUGACUCAAGAAAGGCCCAAUAUUGUCUUUAUUAUGGAGACAAAAAAUCAGGAGCAAAAGGUGCAAAGAUUACGGCGGCGACUUAAUUUCCAACACUAUUUCUUAGUGAAUCCAGAAGGUACAGCAGGGGGUUUAGUAAUCUUUUGGGAUGACCAGGUACUUCUGUUCAUUAACUCUUUCACAGAAAAUGUAAUUUUCACUCAAUGCCAACUACAAGCAAACAACCAGCGUAUGCACAUCACGUUUACACAUGCCCCAAAUGAAUUUAAGGAGAGAAUUAGAUUAUGGGAGAAUAUUUAUCGGGAAAGUCUACACUAUCAUUUCCCUUGGUUGUGUAUGGACGAUUUUAAUGAAAUCCUAUAUCAUUGGGAGAAAGUGGGAAAGAAAAGAGCAAAAACUUACCAGCUUACAGCAUUCAGAGAUUUCCUGUAUAAAUGUUCUCUACUGGAUUUGGAAUGUAAGGGAUGCGCCUUUACCUAGACCAACAACAGAGAGGGAGAAAAUCUGGUCAAGAAGCGAUUAGACAGAGUAUUAUGUAGUUCAGAAUGGCGCAUUAACUAUCCCACAACUGAAUGCAUUGCCUUACCUGCCAUUGGUUCCGAUCACACACCAAUUAUUCUUUUGACAAGCCCGCCGAGGAAAAAGGAAGGGGAAGAGCUUUAAAUACGAAGCUUUAUGGGCAGAGGAGGAGGAUUGUGUGACUCUCGUAAGGGAUACUUGGGCUGAACCGGCUUUCCAACAGUUUAGCAUGGUGGAGAAACUGCAGAUAGUGUCAAAAAAGUUGUUAAAAUGGAGCUAGAACAAAUUCACCAAUGCUAAAAAAAAAGGAUUACUUGGCUGAAUAGAGAGCUACAACACGUAAUGAACAGCAUAGGAAUAUCCAAUGAGAGCAAGGCAACAAAGGAAUUAAGAAAAGAAAUUGAUCAAUUGUGGAGACAAGAAGAAAUGUAUUGGGGAAUGCGGUCAAGAAUCAAUUGGUUAAAAUGGGGGGAUAAAAAUACCAAAUUCUUCCAUGCCACAACUAUCCAAAGGAGAAUCAGAAACCAUAUAUCAUUGUUGAAAAAUGCAGAAGAUGUUUGGGUGCGUGAGGAGCAGUAGCUAAAAGGAUGACCGGUACCUACUUUCAAAAGCUAUACGAGUCAGUGGGGCCUCGAAACUUUCAGCCCCUUUUACAACAAAUUCCAGUUUUGGUGGAUGUGAGAAUGAAUCAAUGACUAGUCGAAUCUGUUAGUAUGGAGGAAAUCAUGACAGCUAUGCAGCGAUUAGGAGCCAAUAAAGCGCCUGGACUAGAUGGCAUGCAUGACAUUUUUUUUUUUCAAAAAUUACUGGCCAGAUAUUUGUCAGGACAUAUUUACAGAAAUACAUAAUUUUUUCACCACCGGUUAUCUCAAUCCUAAUCUGAACAAAACACUUAUAACCCUUAUUCCUAAGACCCCAAACCCAGAAAAGCUGGAAUAGUUCCGCCCCAUCAGCCUUUGCAAUUUUAUAUAUAAAAUCAUCUCAAAAGUGUUGUCUAAUAGAUUAAAACCUCUACUACCUCAACUCAUUGCAAAAGAACAAAGUGCUUUUGUGGGGGGAAGGCAAAUACAAGACAAUAUAUUGAUUGUACAAGAGAUUCUUCACAGAUUACGAACUCGGGAAAGGAAAAAGAAGUUUCAAGUAGUCUUAAAGUUAGAUAUGCAGAAGGCGUAUGAUCGGAUUGAAUGGGAUUUCCUAAGAGCAUGUUUAACUAGAAUGGGAUUCUGCGAACAAUGGGUGCAAUGGCUAAUGCAGUGUGUUUCCACAAUUACAUUCAGUGUAAAUUUUAAUGGGGAGGUUCUUUCUUCUUUCAGGCCAACUAGAGGAAUUCACGAAGGUGAUCCACUAUCACCCUAUCUUUUUAUAUUAGUAGCUAAUGUUCUAUCAACCAUGAUGAGAAAAGCAGUGGAUGAUGGCACACUUAGAGGAAUUAAACUGAACAAUAGUUGCCCUACCCUUUCACACUUGUUAUUUGCAGAUGACUCUAUCUUUUUCCUCAAUGGCACUACCCUAGAAUGUCAAAAUCUAGCGAUGAUCCUACAUGAAUACUGCUUUGCUUCUGGUCAGGCCAUUAACCUUAAUAAAUCAGGUGUAUAUUUCAGCAAAUUUUGCCCUACUACAUUGAGGAGGAACAUGGCCACAGCAUUGCGAGUCCCAGAGAUAGAAAAAACAGGGAAAUACUUAGGAAUUCCCUCGGAUUGGGGCUUCUCGAAGAAAUAUAUGUUCGCGUGGAUCCUAGCGCGAGUAAAUAGAAAGAUAGAAAACUGGAAGGAAAGCUUGUUAUCAAAAGCGGGGAAUGAGAUUUUAAUAAAAUCAGUGGUUCAGGUUAUCCCUCAAUAUGCUAUGUCCAUUUUCAGAAUCCCAAUUUCUAUUUGCAAAGCUAUUGAGAAGAGGACCGCAAAUUUCUGGUGGAAAACGAACAGUAGACAUGCCGGUAUACAUUGGAAGAAAUGAGAAUCCUUGAAACUCAGAAAGGAUGAAAGGGGUAUUGGCUUUAGGCUGCGUUUGGGAACUACUUUCCCAAGGAUCUUUGGGGGGCUAAAGGCCUUUGGGCCAAGGAGAGAGUGUUUGGGAAGAUUUUUUUUACUUGCCUUUGGGAAAGGCAAGCCUUCCCAAGGCUGAAAGCUCAAGGCACCCUUAGGGCUGCCUUAGGCAUUCAGCCUUCUCGGAAGGCUGAUGGAGAGUAAGAAAAAUUUUUUUUCCAUAAAUGUCAUUGCUAACAUUUCAUUUUUCCGGUUUUGUCCUCGUAACUAUUCACCUUCUUCUUCAUUGACGUUGGCUGGCGAAGUUGCGCCGAGCUGUGAGGGGCCAGCAACAAGCUGGAUAGAGGCAGUAAGAGGCCGGUGUGUCACGGCGACCGUCAGUGGCCAAUCACGUGGCCUCGGUGCCCCCCUGUGAGUCGUGUCGCCGCGACCGCUGCAACCCUCGGCAACCACCCAGAUCUGGGUCACAGCAGACCACUGUAACCCUGGCGACGCUGCGACGCCCGACAGAUCUGGGUCACCGAAGGUCUCCGUGACCCAGAUUCGGGCCACGCAACCUCCGGUGACCCAAAUCGUGCGCAGAUCUAGGUCCCCGGAGGUCGCCACAACCCAGAUCUGGGCCGCGCGACCUCCAGCGACCCAAAUCGAGCGAUCUGGUCGCGAUGAUUUGGUCGCGAUCGGGGUUGCCGCAAUCAAAUCAAGUGGCCCGGGCAACCUCCGCACGGAGGUCGCAAUGCGGCGGGUUGUGCAACCUUCAGGCGAGGGUCGCCACGACCCACAUCUCACGAUUUGGGUCAUUGCGACCCUCACCGGACGGUUGCCGCGACCCGCCGCACCGCAACCUCCGUGCAGAGGUCGCCGGGAUCGCUCGAUCUGGUUGCGGCGACCCUCGUCGGCCACCUGCCUCUCGCUGGACCGCCUGCCCCUCCCAGACCCUCACCGGACUGCCUGCCCCUCACCGGCGGUAACCAGCCAAUUCUUUUUUUUUUUCCUUUUUUUUUAAUGACAAAAGUCUUUUACACAGUUAAUUUGUCCAAACACUAUUUUGCUCAAACAUACUUUACAAUGGACUUUUACAAAGACGAUUUACCAAACACAAUUUGCAUAUUCAAAAACCCUUUUAGCUCAAAGGCCUUUACAUUUUCUCAAGGACUUUCCCCAAAAGUCUUCCCAAACACACCCUUAAAGAUCUUAUAGCUUUCAAUAUAGCUAUGCUGGGGAAACAAGCGUGGCGAACUCACAGAGUCCUCAGUCCCUACUGAGUAAAGUAAUGAAGGGUUUGUAUUAUCCACAGGGUGAUUUCUGGAAAGCUGGAAAAGGCUCUCGUCCGUCAUAGUGUUGGCAAAGUAUAACUUGGGGAAGAGAUUUUAUCAUGCCACAUAUAAUGUACUCAGUUGGGAAUGGGAAAGACCUCUAAAUCCGAGAAGACAAAUGGCUAAAGAGUGGCCCUAUAGGCGGUCUAGCAACAAGAACAAACUAGUUCAAGUGGCAGAUUUAAUAGAACAAGGGACUGGAAAGUGGAAUACAGAGAAGGUGGAAAUGAUGUUUGAUGAAAGAAUUGUGAGGGAAAUACUCGCCACCCCUAUUGGUUUGCCCAAUUCGAAAGACAAACUGGUCUGGAUGAACACUAAAUCUAGUAUUUACUCAACUAAAAGUGGCUAUUUUUCAGCAAGAGAAGACCCAACUAAUAACCAUACCACAGCAGCAACCUCAUCACAUCAAAUAAAUCUAGAUCUCUGGAAAUACAUUUGGCAUUCUCAAACCCUACCCAAAAUCAGACUAUUUCUUUGGCAAGCAUGUCACAACGCACUACCAACAAGGGAUAACCUUCACAGGAGAAAGAUAGUACCUGAUCUUUUAUGUUCCAUUUACAAUAUGGAAGCUGAAACCACUGAACACAUCCUCUUACACUGUCCAUGGACAGCUCAAAUUUGGAGCGUCGCACCCGUGCACAUCAAAAUUUCCAGAUUUGGGUUAACACGGUUUGAUGACUGGCUUUUUCAACUGAAAAACAACCCGACACUCACUAAGUAUUUCGACCAAGUUAUUGCUCUUCUCUGGAGUAUCUGGAAGGACUAGAACCAGCAUAUCUUUGGCCACCGUCCCUUGUCACCAAAACACACUUUAUUCUCAGAUCUUCGACUAAUCUACCAAAAAGUGAAAAGAAGAAAGCUACUUCACCUUCUCAUUGACGACCUCCCCCUCACGGCACCCUAAAAAUUAAUGUAGACGCGUCCUUCUUUGAACUGAACGAAGCGGAAGCAGAGACUGAAGAAGACUUGUGAUCGGCAAAGAACAUAGUAGCGAUCGCGUGUCUCUGUAGAGAUCUCGAGGAUGUCUCGUUGAUGGCUUCGUGAAAAUCGUCGAUGCUUCCUCGGCUACACAAGCGGAAGCCCUAGCUCUCCUUCAAACCCUAGAUCUGCUCUCCAAUCGAACGGAACUUCAUCUGGAAGUACAAUCUGAUUGUCUUCCCCUCGUGCAAGCGGUAAUGUCUUCGAAGGAGUUAAACUGGCAAGUGAAGCCUCUACUGGACUAGGCCCAAAGCAAGUUGAAGGAGUUCCAGCACAUUUCCUUGGCCCAUUGCACCAGAAACGCCAACAGGUCUACAGAUUGGCUUGCCAAAGCAUGUCGCUUAAAUUAUCUUCCCUCUAAUUGGUUGUUUAAUCCCCCGCCUGCUCUACUAGACCUUUUAAGCACCAAUGCUUUUGAUGUAUUUCCUCAAAACUUUAUGAAGUAAAUCUAGUAAUUGCAUUUCAGAUCAAAAAAAAUUACAAGGUUUCAAUCCUAAUUUUAGAUUUCCAUCUAGGUAAUCUUUAGUUUGGAAAGGGUCUAUAAAAUCUCUAUGUUCAUCACAUAAGAUUAGAUAUCAAUUUGGAGGCCGAUGUGGUCCUAGAACGAUGAUGCCAUUGCAACCUAUGGGAGCCCCCUCAAGGGUGGUCGGCCCUGUCUAUCUGCCCCAUUCGCCACUCGUGCAUGGAUCGUCAAAGGCUCAGCAUCGACCUGUAUUGGUGCAUGCCUGUCGUAAUUUGCCACGUGGCGCAUGGAGCUACACUACGACGUCUCGCGAAGUCUACGUUAAUCAAGUAGCAAGAGUACCCGCCCAAUUCUUAUUUGAUUGAAUAUGACUCAAUCUGGCUUGUCUCUACCAAUCGAAGGUCAUUGUCCUGGCUGACAUGAACAAUGACGUCAAUAUUUAAAAAGAAAAUUUGUAAUACCAUAAUAAUAUAUUCAUUUAAUAUAAGUUUUUAAAUCUAAUGACUCAAUAUAAUUAAGGUAGAAGUACAACACAAGUCUCAAAACUUAGCAUAGGGGCUUAAGUGCCAAAAGUUCCAAAAAGUACAUUUAAGUACCAUUUUUUUAAAAAAAGAAAAACCAAAACAAUGUCGUUUUGCCUCUUAUUUAAUUAAAUUAAAUUAAAAAUUAAAUUAUUAAAAAAGAAAAAAGAAAAAAAAAGGGAAUUGCAUCAAGUAGCCCUCAUCGCUGCCGCCCCAUUAUCGCUGGAAUGGGCCGGUGACAAUGGGGGGAGAGUCUGCCGAGGUCGCCUAGCCCCCCACUACUGUCGGUCCUUCCUAGCGAUGGUGGGGCAGCAAGGGCGAGAGUUGCACAGCACUUGCGAAACAUGUUGCAAUCCCCCCCCCCCCUUUUUUUUUUCCUUUUUUGUCUUUUUUUUUUAAAAAUUAUUUUUAAAUUUAGUUUGAUUAAUAUUUAUAUUAAAUUCAAAUCUGAUGCAAAAUGACGUCGUUUUUUGCUUAUCUAACCACAUUAGCGUGCAAAACGUCAUUUUUGGCUUAUAUAGUCAGGUUAGCAUGCAAAAUGAUAUUGUUUUCUACUUGUUUUGCUAGAAAAACGCCACAUCAAUAUUUUUGCUAGAUUUUCUCGCCAUUGGCACUUAAUUGAUCAAUUUUGCUCCGAUUUUGAUACUUAAGUGUACAUUUUUGAAAUUUUGGCACUAGUGUCUUCCUGUGUUAAGUUUUGAUACUUCAGAUGUCCGCGCCUCUAUAAUUAAUGGUUGUGCUUGUUUGUGUUCUCAAACCCAUGUGAGUCUUGUCCACUUCGGCGUAGAAAACCUCAAAAAUUGUUCAUUUGAUAAUACUAGGGUGCACAUGUGUAGGUGUUGCGGUAACUGUUAGCCCAUGGGAUGCGCUUACUUGUAAAAUGAGAAUAUUAGUUAUAUAAUAAUCUUGUGUUCACUAUCACGUUUGACAAUUCCCUGUGCUCAGGUAUGCAAAGGUUGAUGAAUUUAGAUUUCUACAAGUUCUGAUUACUAUUGAAGAGUUUUCAUUGACCAAAUACCACGUUCAUGCAACACGAUAAUAAUUAAUAAAAAAAACCGAUCACGUUUGUAGCCUGUAGGGACUUGCCCAUUUCACGAGUAAACAUGAAUUUGAUACGAACCUUAGAAUGAUGCAUGGACCCAUCUUAUGUUAAAUAAUUGACAUCGAUAUGCUAUUGAUUAUAGCUAGGGAAGCUUUUGACUUGAAUCGGACAACUAAGGAUUUUUCUUAGAUCCGCCAUUUUUGUAACUACAUCUAAACAAAGACUUUUUGAUUGGCAUGAUAUGUGACGAUUUCACACACAAAAAAUCAUUGAGUAUAGCCAUAAAGCGAAGUUCUUCAUGAACAUUUGUCUACACAAAGAUGGAUUCGGAUAAUGCAAAAUUGGACCAAACAUUCAAUUAGAGAGUGAUAUAGCCAGAAGAAAGCUAGAGAAUCUAGUACAGCACCUCACUUUCUUUUUCAAUGUAAUUGAUCCAAUGACUUAUACAUAUGUCGUUUGUUAUCCCCAUAAGAUUUGUGGGUAGAUGCAAUGAAAUAUGAGAUGUAAUCUAUGAAUUAUCCUGGUGUUUGUGAGCUUAUUGAAUUGUCUGAAAGUUAUAAGUCCAUCGGCUGCAAAUGGGCAUAUAAGACUAAAAAGAGACUAAAAAAAAGAUUGAGAAGUUUAAAGUCAAACUAAUAGCCAAGAGUUUUACUCAAGAAAAGAAUAAGCUAUGAAUGAACUUUUUCCUCGUUCUUUUCUAAAGAUUCUUUUAAAGUAAUCAUGGCAUUAGUAUCUCAUAUUGAUAUGUAGUUACAAUAGAUGUAUAUUUAAAAAAAUGGAUACCAAGAUGAGGAGGUCUAUAUGGUGCAAACCGAAGGCUUUGCAACAAAUAAUUCAAGUAGACUUAUAUGUAUAUUGAUAAAGUAUAUUUAUGACCUCAAGCAAGCUUCUAGACAAUGGUACUUGAAGGUUCAUUAUGUUGUCACUUCAUUUAGUUUUGUUGAGAACAAAGUAGAUUAGUGUAUAUACUACAAAGCCAAUGGAAUGAAAUUCAUUUUUCUCAUACUUUAUGUAGAUGAUAUCUUGCUUGCGGGCAGUGAUAUUGGAUUACUACAUGAGACAAAGCGGAUCAUGUUGAAAAAAAUUUGAAAUGAAGGAUUUUGAUGAUACAUCUUUUGUCCUUGACAUUCAGAUCCGUACGGAUCGUUCUCGCCGUAUGUUGGGAUUGUCAUAGAGGGUAUAUGUUAAUCGUAUUUUGGAAAGAUUUUGUAAUUUUUUUUUUUUUUGGUAAGUAUCACUCCAGAGGGUAAGUUUGGAAAAGAUUUUGUUUGUAGCAUUGUAAGUCAAAAAUUGCCUAUGUCAUUAAGGGUGAUAAAAUGAAUCUCUCACAAUGUCCUCAUUCAAAUUUUGAAAAAUCCCAAAUGAAUGAUGUACUUCAUGCUAGGAUACUUGGAAAUAUCACGUAUGCUUAAGUUUGCAUUGGAUCAAACAUUGCUUUUGCGAUAUGACUUCUGAGCUAAUAUCAAUCAAAUUGCUGCCAAGAAGGUUUUAAGAUACCUAAGAAGGACAAGAAACUAUAUGCUGAUUUACAAACACGUUCAAGAUUUGCAUUUAGUAAGCUAUUCAGAUGUAGACUUUGCUAGCUAUUUGGAUAAUUUGAAGUCGACAAUAGGAUAUAUCUUUAAGUUAGCAAGAGUUACAAUGUUAUAAAUAAGAAAGAAACAGAAAUCUAUGUCAUCCUCAACCAUGCAAGUGGAGUUGGUAGCAUACUUUUCGAUUGCUACUAAGGCUAUUUGAUUCCAAAACCUUAUUAGGGAGUUGGCCAUAUUUGAUUUUAUGAAUAGACUUAUAUAAUUGUAUUGUAAUAAUAAUUGUGCAUUGUUGUUUAUCAACAACGACAACAGAUGUCUUAAGGUAUCUAAGCAUAUGGUGGUUAAGUUUUUGAAUAGUUUAGAAUGUUGGUGCUACAGUAGAGCAUAAGCCCAUCACAUGCAUGCCAAUGAGCCUUCGUGACUUUGCUCCAGUUUCACUGUUCAAAUUGUUGCACGAUGAAGGGAAAAGCAUGUGAGCAUUUGAGAUCCUGAUCAAUUGAGUCCCGGUCGAGAGAGGGAUUUUGCGGCGUCUUUUCUUGGUUUCUCAUUUCAGAUGGGGACCCUUUGAUUUAUUACGUUUAACUAAAACGUGGAGGCAUUAGAGACGAUGAGAAAAGGGCCCUCCAAUCAUUAUUAUCUUGUCUAUUAUUUUCCUUAUAUUUUGCACAUUUUUCCUUAUCUCCGCAAGUAACAUUUUGCACGAAAACUAGGGGGGAUGAACAUCGAAACAUUGUUAGGUGAGCUCAUGAUAUGGGAUGGACAGGUGGAUUGUUAUUAGAUGCAUGGAAUGCUCGAGCCCUUCAAUUGAUGUAAUCUCCAUUCACGCAUGGUGGGUUUUUCCGUCCGCCUAAAUCGUGAUGUCUGAGCAUAGCUCCUGAGUCAUUACAUAUGUGUUAGGAGGAACUGUAAAAUUUUGUUGGCCGUCGCCUAAGUUUUUUUUUUUUUUUAAUCAAAAUCGUCUAAGUUUAAGUUGUUAAAUGAAUGCGCAAUCUAAUAAAUAAAUAUGUUAUACUCCCUCUUCCGCAUAAGCUAGACUUUGAUAUAAGAUUUAGAAAGUGAGCACCAUUUUAAUAUAAAAAUACUAAAUCUCCAUCUCAUGCAUAAACUAGCUGUUUUGGACUUAUAAAUUAGUCAUUAGUUGCAAAAUCAACAGGUUGGAUUCUCAAUUCUAAUCUUUUGUAACCAAUGUUCAUGGGGUUGAUUUCUAAUUUGAUGUAUGAAACCAAUCACCCAUACUAACAUUAAAGCUUGUGACCAAGAAUUGACUCAACUUGGUUUCGAUUGCCCCUACUAAAAUGGGAGAAUUACCAAAAAAGUCAUAAACCUAUUGUAAUUGUGCCAAUUCAAUCCUAAACUUUUUUUUUGGGCAAUUUAGUCCUAAACCUUUUACAAUUAUGCCAAUUCCGUCCAUCCGGUCAAAAUUGGCCGGCCGACGCUGACGUAGACGCCGGCCGUCCGGCGAACGCUGACGUGGCAUUUAAAAAAAAAAUCUAAAUUUUUAAUAUUUUUUUCGAAAUUUUUAAUAUUUUUCGAAUUUUUUUAUUCUUUAUUCCUUUUUUUUCCCACCAUCUUCUUUGCCUCUUGGCCGGCCGGCACCGGCUAGAGGCGAGGGCUGGUGAGGUAAGCCUCGCCGGCCACUGGCGAGGGCGAGGCCCUGCCAGAUCCGGCGAGGGCGAGGCCCUGCCAGAUCCGGCGAGCUCGGCCCUCGCCAGAUUCGGUAGGGCCUUGCCCAGCCAAGGCGAGGGUUGACCUCGCCAGUGGCCGGCGAGGCGACCUCGCCCACCAUCCACAAUGCGGCAGCGAUCAGAAGCCGCGAGCUCGCUCGCACUCCGGAGGCGCAAUCGCAAGGCACGGAUUUAGGUGGAGAGAGAGAAUGGUUCCGAGCGAGUGGCGAGGCGACCUCCUCAACCGGAGAAUCUUCGGGUGACUAUCCCUCUCUCUCUCUCUCUCUCUCUCUCUCUCUCUCUCUCUCUCUCUCUCUCUCUCUCUCUCUCUCGUUCGAAGUGACCGAGCGGCGGUGACGUAGCAGAUGGCGACGGGGCACGCGGUGCGGUUGCAGUAAGCGCGGAGUACGCUCGGCCAAUUGUGACAGAGACGUGGUGGCCGAUAGGGUUUCGAGGGAAGACAACGGCGACGACUCGUCGAGCAGCAGCUUGUCACCUAUUCGUAGCGAGGGUAUGGCACGGCGGCGUUGCUGGUCAGCGAGAUGGCGUCAAUUGCUGCGACGGCGACAGACAGUAGGGAUUUGUCUCUAGGACAAUGUCGGGGCUACACUGAAGCAGAUGCUGGCGAGCGAUAGUGACGCGGUGGAGAUCUGGUGCAACGAUGGCGUCGGGGGGUUCGGGCAGCGUCAACAGCACCUCCUUCCUUCUCGGAUCUAACCCCCUUCUCUAGUUUCUCUUCCUCUCUCCGGCCCCUCUUCGCAGAUCUAGAACUCCCUUGCCCAAAAUUCCUACCCUCUGGCUAGAUUUGAGAUCUCUGCCUCGCCCUCGCCAAUGGUCGGCGAGGCUGACCUCACCAGAUUUGGCGGGGUCUCGCCCUCGCCAGUGGCCGGCCAGGUUGACCUCGCCGGCCUUCACCUCCAGCAGGUAGGGGCGAGCCUUGCCAUUGGCCGGCGAGGCUGACCUCGCCAACCCUCGCCUCUGGCCGGCCGAAGAAGAUGAUAGGAAAAAAAUAAAAAUAAAAGAAAUAUAAAAUUCGAAAAAAAAAAUUAAUUUUUUUUAAAUGCCACAUCAGCAUUCGCCGGACGGCCGGCGUCCACGUCAGCGUCAGCCUGCCAAUUUUGGUCGAAUGGACUGAAUUUGCACAAUUGUAAAAGGUUUAGGACUAAAUUGGCAAAAAAAAAAAAGUUUAAAACUGAAUUGGCACAAUUACAAUAGGUUUAUGACUUUUUUGGUAAUUCUCCCUUACUAAAACUAUAGUGCACAAGUUGGAAUUUUUUUUUUUGUGGGAUCACUAAUUAGUAUUUAAAAAGCAGGGUAUUCACACUAAAUCUCACUAAACAACCUCAUAAGUCUCUGACACCCUUUUGUUGUCUGUGCGCACGGCACCUUCCUUUCCCUUCUCCCAAGGACAACCUUCAAUCACUUAAAUUCAAAUAUGAUGUCACCGCGCAUGUCAAUCAUUAUCAGAAAAGGCUUACAUGCCGUCUAAUUUACUAUAGAGGAUAAUUCAUAUAAUUAUACCACGACAUACAUGAAAAUAAUAUAUAUCUUACUUGACAACUCGUAGAAAAACAUAAAUGAAUAAAUUUGAAAUGAAUAUAAUGCUUCACUGAAUAACUGUACAAAAGUAUUUUGAGCACGGUAUGUCGGUAAUAUCCUCUAAAUCAUUUGACACGUUGCUAGUUUUCUCGUCAUCUAGAAUAGGGUCAAGAAAUACCGAGUCAUCUUACAUUACGAACUCAUGCAACAAUGAUAACUAGAACACGAGCUUUUCCAUCAGCAAUUUAUGUCAUGCUUAUAUAGCGUUGGUUUACUAUAAGAAAUCAAUAGCACGUCGUUCGUCCUUCAUUACGUAUCAGAUUAUCCUCUUACGAACCCUCUUUCUUGCUGGGUUUUCUGCUACUAUAGCUAGAAUCACUUCUUUCACCACAUAAGAUACAGAGACGAUCUUGCAGGCCGACGUGGUCCUGCAACGAUAAUGCCAUCGCAACCUAUGCGAGCCACACAAAAGGUGGUCGGCACUGUUUCUCUCUGCCCCACUCGCCACACGUGCGUGAAACUGCACCCGAUUCUUAUUCGCCCGGUUAUGGUACAAUCUAGCUUGUCUCUGCCAAUCGAAAGGCACCGUCCUAACUGACAUCGGUGAUGACGUCAAAAUUCAAAAAAAGAUUAGUAUACCACAAUAAUAUAUUCAUUGAAUAUAUGUUUUUGAAUCUAAAGCCUCCAUGCAAUCAAUGGUUGCACUUGUUUGUUUCUCGACCCCAUGUGAGUAUUGUCAGCUUAGAAAUAGAAAACCUAGAAAUUGUUCAUUUCAUAAUAUUGGGGAUGCAACUUGUGUGUAGGUGUUGUAGGGUUCUGUCGUGCCUUGUGGUGCACUUACUCGUAAAAUGAGAACAUUAAUCAUAUAAUAAUCUUGUGUUCACAAUCACGUUUGACAAUUAUGUAUUCAUAGAUAUGCAAAGUGUUGGAUGAUUUUGUCAUUUUCUCAUCUCAAAAGUUAGCUUAAAGAAUAAGACUUUUCCUCAUAUUUAUAAAUCGACUGCCAAUUUCUACAAUUGAAAUUCAAAUAAUCUCCUUCUCACAUAUUAGGCCUUAAUUGGAAGCCGCAAUAAUCCGUAACUCCUGGGCUCUAAUAAUGAUAUAAGGUGAUUUUGAGCCUUACUCGUCUCAAAAGUUAACUUAAGGAGUGGAGUUUUUCCUCACAUUUAUAAAUCAACUACUAGCUUUUUGCACAAUCAAUGUGGAAGAACCCCAAUUAAAGGGUGUAAAAAUCAGAUUUCUACAAGUUCAAUUACUAGUGAAGAAAUUUCAUUCCCCAAGUACCAUAAAAACUAAGCGAACAGUUAGCGAUGUGUAUGGGCAUCUUAUGGUGAAUAAUCAGCAUUGGUUCACUAUUGAUUGAAGCUACUGAACUUUCGACUUGAAACGGAAUAAUAAGGAAUUUUUUUCAAAUCCACAAUUAUUGGAAAAUGAACCUACGUGAACACUUUUUGGAUUGGCAUAAUAUGUGACAUUUUCACGCAUAAAAAAUAGGUUGAGUUCAAGCAUAAAGCGAAGUUAACAUUUAUCUAAAAGAAGGAUUCGCACAAUGCAAAAUUGGACUAAACGUUGGAUUAAAGAGUGAUAUGGGUAGUAGAAAGCACAAGAGUCCAGAAUAGCACCUCACUUUCUUAUUCAAUGUGCUGUUUCAUAUGCCCCGUCCGACUAAUUCAAUCAGUAGUUGGAAAGCCCAAGUGGGGCCCUAUCAAAAUCACGGUCGACCUAAGAAGUUUACUGAAAGAAAAAUCCAAAUACCGAGUGACGUGCUUGCUGACGACGACAAUAAUCUCAAAACCCCUAUAAAUUGAGACGCUCCCUUCACUCCAGUCCCACAGCAUUGGCUCUCUCUCACACAUCCUCUUCUCUGAUACUAGGGACACAAUGUCUUCCAGGUACUUGCUAGUUUUGCUCCUGGGAGCGGUGCUUUCCGCCGCUGCCGUCGUCUCCGACGGCCACCACCCUUUAAAAAAAGAGCAUAAACCACACCACAAGCACCACCACAAACUGACCAAAAAAAAAGCACCACCACAAGCACCACCCUGGUGGUUGCCGUCUCAUGGAGACCGUCGAAGCCGAGGACUCGCACAAGCCAUUCCCUAAACACAAGCCCCCACACCACGAUCACCCUCUCGAGGACAUUCUUGUCGAGGAGGUUGAAAAGGAAGACUCCCACAAAAAGCCAUUCCCCGGCAAGAAACCGCCCCACCACCCCGGCCAUUUGCUUGCCGAGGAAGUGGAAGCUGAUGAAAAAAAGAAGCCAUUCCCCGAGCACAAACCCCCAAAGAAAGGCAACAAGCCACCACCGAAGAACAAGCCACUCCACGAGGGACACAUUCUUGUAGAGGAGGUGGAAGAGGACUCGAAGAAGCCAUUCCCUGAGCACAAGCCCCCCAAGAAAGGUGAGGAGCCCAAGAAGGGAAAGGGAGAGAAGCCGCCACCAAAGCACAAGCCACCACACGAGGGACACAUUCUCAUAGAAGAGGUGGAAGAGGACUCUAAGUAGCCAUUCCCUGAGCACAAGCUGCCAAAGAAAGGCAAGGAGCCAAAGAAGGGAAAGGGAGAGAAGUCGCCACCAGAGCACAAGCCACCACACGAGGGACACAUUCUCAUAGAAGAGGUCGAAGAGGACUCUAAGAAGCCAUUCCCUAACCACAAGCCGCCAAGGAAAGGCGAGGAGCCAAAGAAGGGAAAGGGAGAGAAGCCGCCACCAAAGCACAAGCCACCACAUGAGGGACACAUUCUCAUAGAAGAGUUUGAAGAGGAUUCUAAGAAGCUAUUCCCUGAGCACAAGCUGCCAAAGAAAGUCAAGGAGCCAAAGAAGGGAUGUCGCGACCAAUUUUUUUGGGUUUGAACUACCUAGGGUUUGGUUAAUGGAUUGUUAAGCCUAGACUUAACUUGGGCUCUCCCAAGCCCAUAUCAAUUCGCGACUUAGGUUUGAAUUGUUAACAUGCAAUUUUUUUAAUUAGGAGUCGCCACUAAUCUAUUUUUGAUGGGUCGAUUAGAAACCCUAGUAAAGUAACGGGAGAUUUACUUUACUCCUACAAACCAGAGACUAAGGGUACGGGGACUUGGUUACGUUAGAUUUCUCUAACGCCCUUUCGGUACCUUUCUUUUUAUUUUGAAAAAUGUUUGGCAAGCAGCUCGAAUUGAUUUUAAAUUAUCUUCCUAACAUGUGAGGUGCUCAUGCAGGUGCGUAAACCACCAAUUUAACACCCAAGAAAACAAUUAAAUAAUGCAGGACUUACCUCCAAAGCUACGAAAGCAUCUGCAAUAUUAAAUUAAAAUCCAUAUCAACAACCCUAGAUAUGGUUUCUAAUUAACAAGCAAUUACUCAAUUUUUGUUUCCUCUUUUUCAAUGAAAAUAUAGUCCAUAUGCAAUGCAAUGCUUCUAAUCUAAUAUGAAAUGAUAUGGCAUGGCAAUAUGUCAUAAACUAUACGAAUGAAUAAGAAUUUUUGUGAUUUCUUAAUGAACAUGCAAUAAUUAAAUAUGCAAUCUAGAUGACUUAAUUCUAAUGACGUGCAAUGCAAUGCAAUGCAAUGACGUACAAAAUUAUUUCAACUAAAAUGACGUGCAAUGCAAUGCAAUGACGUACAAAAUUAUUUCAACUAAAAUGACAUGCAACAUGCAAUUUAAUAUGCGAGGUAUAUGUCAGGCGACAUUUAUUAAAUUACAUAAUCUAAUUAUGGGCAAUUUCUAAUUAGAAAUGAACCUAACAAUAAUCACUAAAAUGACAUGCAUUUCAUGAACCUAAUUCUAUAUGACAUGCAAAUGACAUUUUUUUUAUUUUAAAAAUGCAAUCUAUCCUAGAAAUUGCAACUAAUUUAACCUAAGACAAAUUUUAUGAAAUUUGAAAUGAUCUAGCUAGAUUAAUAUUCUAUCUAAUUUAAACUAGGGAUUAAGUCAUAUUAAAUCCUAAUUUAAACUAAGACAUUAUCUAAAUCUAAAAUGCAAUUUAUCUGAAAAAGGUGAUAUAAAUUUAAAAUGAAACAUGCAAUUCUAAUCUAAUAUGCACAAUGAUUUUUUUUUGUGUUUUUCUUUAAUCUCGAAAUUAAAACUAACACAUAAUUAACAUGCAAUUCAAAUAAAAAACUAACAACCUAAAUGAAUGCACUUUCUUUUUUUGGAUUUUUUUAUUUAAAAAUUCAUAAUAAGAUUGCAAUCCUAAAUAUGCAAGAUGACAACAAACAUAAUCCUAAUUAAGAUUUUUUUUUAUUUUUUAUUUUUAUGAAAAUAAGAUUUGACUCAACCAACUUGACGAUAGCAAAUCAAACAAAAGAUAAGAUUGAUAUCCAAAAAUUAGCGAAUUAUAUCUCGCGCAUGAGAUCGGGUUGACCAAUUUUAAUUUUAAAUCGUGAAUCAAAUCUCGGGCUUGAGAUUGGAUUGUCGAUUUUUAUAAGGGAUUGCGAGUCGGAUUUCGGGCGCGAAAAUCGGACUGUCAAUCCCUAACUUGAGGGACUAUUUCAUAUUGGGAUCUCAAUCACAUAUUUAAAGGGAACAAUUUCACUAAAAGAAUAAAAUAAAAAGGAAAGAAAAAGAAAACGGUAAGUAAAUAAAUAAAUAAAAACUACCUAAUUUUCCUUUUUCCUUUUUUUUUCUUUUCCUUCCAAGCUUCGUGUUCGUGGCAAGUCACCAAAGCAAAGGAUCGGAGGUCCGGCAGGGGAAACUCCGGCAAAGGCAGUGGCUGUGUGGUGGGUCACCGUCAUAGGAAGUCACGGUGGUCGGAGCUCCGGCGAAGGGACUCGGUGGCUGGUGGACACAGCUGCAGCAGCUGGUCACGGGUGCUACAACGGCGUCGCUCGGAUGGGGAGCAAGCUCGGAACGGCGUGCAGGGGCGGAGACCGACUCGGCGGAGGGCUGCUACAGGCGUCGUAGGUCGUCGCAAGGACUUGGGUGGCAGCAGGCCACCGGGAUCGCGAGAUCUGGAUAGUGGGCCACGAGCAGAGGACUUCGGGUCGCGGCACGGUAGAGCAACUCAGGUGUCAGCACUUGGGCAGCAAGAGCGUCGGAUCGCUAGACCUCGGGGCAACGUCGUCAGGCUUCAAUGGGGCCAGCGGCGAAGCUUCAGGUGCUGGGCUAGGCGAAAGCAGCAAGGUGCAGGCGGUGGGCGGACGAACGGCGAUGGUGUUGCGGGCAAGGCCGGCAGGGCGACGGAUCGACGCUGGGUCGCCGGUGAGGUGUAGCUCCGUUGCUGGGGUUGAACAGCGAGGCGGGAGCAGCGUGUUUGAAGAAGAGCCAGCCGGUUAAUUGCAGAGGUGGGGCAGCGAAUUUGGGAAGACAAUGAACAGUAAGGGUCAAAUCACUCCCUCUUUGUCUCUGUCUUCUCUCUCUGCCUUUUCUUUUUACCUUUUUUUCUCUCUCUUUUUUUCGACGAAGAGAAUCCCCUCCUAUUUAUAGAGUGAAAACCCAAUCUGUUCUACCUACGAAGAUUUGCAUAACAACCCAAUCGCUGAGGAUUACCCUUCGAAAAAACGAGAUGUGCUCAACCAAAAAGAGGUUCAAAAAUCUAAAAUCAUCUAUUAAAAUCUUCUAAGCUGACUCACUUGAUCAUUGAAGAUUUUAUAUACUGACUCAGCGAUUGAAGAUAAUCUGAAAUUUUUUGUGAAUAUUUUCCAGAUAAUUUAUUCAAGAUAAAGCUUCAUUAUCCAACUCUAAAAUCUUCCAAAAUGUCUAUCCGCAACAAAAUAUUUUAGAUUAUUCCUUAUCCUCUUUAACAUUCCCAACGAUUUUACCACCAAAAGACUAAAGAUAAGAUUGCGAUAUGAUUUUUUUAAAUAUCAAAAACCACCAUAAUAUCGCAUCAAAUCUCAAUUUUCCACGAUAUAAUUUUCAAUAAAAAACAUGGGUUUGGGCCAACUUGCUCACUUUGUGGGCUUAGUCCAACUAAUUUGAACCCAUCCGCACCGACCCAAUAGAUAAAAUGCAAAAUUAAAAACAAAUGCACCUAAAUCUAUAUGCUAUGCAAUUAAUAUUUUUUUAGGGGUUAAAAUUAAUCCAUAAUUUCUUAAUGCGACAAACGACUGAAUUGGGUAGCCAAAAUUUAGGUGUCAACAAGGGAAAGGGAGAGAAGCCGCCACCAAAGCACAAGCCACCACAUGAGGGAUACAUUCUCAUAGAGGAGGUCGAAGAGGACUCUAAGAAGCCAUUCCCUGAGCACAAGCCGCCAAAGAAAGGCGAGGAGCCAAAGAAGGGAAAGGGAGAGAAGCCGCCACCAAAGCACAAGCCACCACACGAGGGACACAUUCUCAUAGAGGAGGUCGAAGAGGACUCUAAGAAGCCAUUCCCUGAGUACAAGCCGCCGAAGAAAGGCGAUGAGCUAAAGAAGGGAAAGGGAGAGAAGCCACCCCGAAAGCACAAGCCACCAAAGAAAGGUGAGGAGCCAAAGAUGGGAAAGGGAGAGAAGCCACCCCACAAGGGACACAUUCUCGUAUAGGAGGUGGAAGAGGACUCAAAGAAGCCGCUUCUUAAGCACAAGCCGCCCAAGAAAGGUGAGGAGCCGAAGAAGGGCAAGGGAGAAAAGCCACCACCAAAACACAAGCCACCACACGAGGGACAUUCUAGUAGAGGAGGUGGAAGAGGACUCAAAGAAGCCUUUCCCCAAACACAAGCCGCCGAAGAAAGGCGAGGAGCCAAAGAAGGGCAAGGGUGUGAAGCCGCCACACCACAAGCCACCACACAAGCCUCCCACCGAGAACUGAUUAUGCAUUCUUCAAUGAAUGUAUAUGUCGUGUGCUUUUCACGGGUUCAAAUAGGAGCUGGUCCAUAGUGUCUGACACUACCGUGUUAGCUGGUUCGCUGUUUGUGCUCCAUGGGGAUAUAAAAUGUAUGUACUUUGCUUGGUCAUGUCCUUUGACUUUGCCUACGUUGAUAUAUGCUGAGUACUUGCUAGCCAUGAGCUUUCCUUUCUAAUUAUGCCUUUAAUUAGUAACUUACGAAUUAUGGACAUUGUCCCCUUGCAAUCUUAAGUAAAAAUAAAUAUGGGGUUUAUCCAUAAUUUUAAAUCAGAAAAUUGGUUGACCAAAGCUUCUUCUAAUCAAAGUUGGAGGAAGACAUGGCCCUUCUUUGUAGGUUUUUAAUAUGAUCUAGUUAUUCUAACGCCUAUUAAUUACAACUUUCCACACCAUCCAACGUAUUAAUUUUGUAGAUUACCCUUGAUAUAUCUAACAUUAUUGGCCCAAAUACUAGUAUCAUGACACAAUAGUGAAGGUAUUUAUUGAGAUGAUUUACACACAUAGGUUGAAUCAUAAUGAUUUUCACCCCCCCUCAAAAACUCAAAUCAUAGAUUGAAAGAGUGAUGCAUGGAACCACUAAAGUUUACCCCAGUAGCCACCCUUCCAACAUGGAAGAGGGAGGUGGGGUGUUCGAAUCCCCACAUUCUCGAGGGGUUGGGGUGGGGAUGGUUUAUUUUCAGGUAUAGGUUUCAACUCCCAUGCUCUGUAAGGAGGUAGGACAAAAGUCUCAAAAUGAGAGUUAGUAGGAAUAGAGUAAGACCGACAAAAAAAAAGAAGAAAAAAAAAGAGUGAUGCAUGGAAGCAUGCAUGCAUUUAUUGAUUUUGCAUAUUGCUAUAUGAACUUGUUAUCCCUCUCUUUGCACUUCACCAUCCAAUUAUUUUCUUGAUCCUUCACGGGGAAUUUACAAGGGCAAAAUUACCAAACAAGUCCAAAACCUAUUGUGCUUGUAUAAAUUCAUUCCUAAGUAUUUUAAUCAUGUCAAUUUAGUCCUAAAUAUUUUCACAAUUUGCCAAUUUAUUCAUAAACUCUUUGUCAAUUUAGUCAUUUUAGCUAAUUUUGGCUCGAAAAACACUGACGCGGGUCUAGUCAGCGUCAACCAUCUACUACUACUAUUUGCUUGUUUUUGUGGCCCUUGCCUAUGGCCAACAAUGGUUGGCUAGUGACCUCCAUGCCCUUGCUAGCUAAGAGUUGGAAAAAAAAGGUAAAGAAAAAAGAAUACAAAAUUCAGAAAAAAUUAUCCACAUAAGCUUUUUUUUCAGCAACAAUUAGUUGAAAUAACUAAAUUGACAAUUCGUCCAAAGGUUUAAGACUAAAUUGAUAUAAUUAAAAUAUUUAGACUGAUUGGCAAAUUGUCAAAAAAUUUAUAACUAAAUUGGCCAAGUUAAAAACUUAGGACCGAAUUAGCACAAGUAUGAUGGAUUCAGAAUUUUUUUUUUUUUUUUUGUUGAUAUUUUCCAAUUUACAAGUUAACAUAGAACACUCUCAUUUUAUCGUGAACUUGUUUAAUCCGAUCGUGAUAUAGUUGAGGAACUUCAUGAAUAACAGGUUUCUCACUAUACUUAAUUGCAUAGGAUACUAAAAAAUAAUCAUGUUAGAAAGACCUGGACGUGUGGUUAGUAUUGGAUGUGGUGUCGGCGAAUAUAUUAUCUUCAUAAAACUGAUAUGCCUAACCGACCUAAGUUUCAUACUUGGAAACAAUGAUUAUAUGUCAAGAAAGCGAUGGUAUGGGAGACUCCAGAAACACGAUAAGAAGAUGCGUCCUAAUUAUGCCAAACAUGAUUGCUAGAAUGACGAAGCCCGUCACAUGCUCCAGUUUCACUGUUCAAAUUGUUGCACGAUGAAGGGAACAGCAUGUGAGCAUUUGAGAUCCUGAUCAGUUGGGUCCCGGUUGAGAGAGGGAUUUUGCGGCGUCUUUUCUUGGUUUCCCAUUUCAGAUGGGGACCCUUUGAUUUAGUACGUUUAACUAAAACGUGGAGGCAUUAGAGACGAUGAAAAAAGGGCCCUCCACUCAUUAUUAUCUUGUCUAUUAUUUUCCUUAUAUUUUGCACAUUUUUCCUUAUCUCCGCAAGCAACAUUUUGCACGAAAACUAGGGGGGAGGGGGGGAUGAACAUUGAAACAUUGUUAGGUGAGCUCAUGAUAUGGGAUGGAUAGGUGGAUUUUUAUUAGAUGCAUUGGAUGCUCGAGCCCUUCGGUUUAUGUAAUCUCCAUUCACGCGUGCUGGGGUUUUUCGUCCACCUAAAUCGUGAUGCGUGAGCAUGGCUCCUGAGUCAUUAUAUAUGUGUUUGGAGGCACUGUAAAUUUUUUGUCAACCAUCACCUAAGUUUUUUUCUGAUCAAAAUCACAUAAGUUUAAGUUGUUAAAUGAAUGCGCAAUCUAUUAAAUAAAUACUGUUAUACUCCCUCUUGCGCAUAAGCUAGACUUUGAUAUAAAAUCUAGAAAGUAAGCACCAUUUUAAUAUAAAAAUACUUUAAAUCUCCAUCGCAUGCAUAAACAACCUGUUUUGGAUUUAUGGAUUAGUUAUUAGUUGCAAAACCAACAGGUUCGGUUCUCAAUUCCAAUCUUCCGUAACCAAUGUUCAUGGGGUUGGUUUCUAAUUUGAUGUAUGAAACCAAUCGCUCAUACUAGCAUUAAAGCUUGUGAUCAAGAACUGAGUCAACUUGGUUUCGAGUGCCCCCGCUAAAACCAAAGCACAUAAAUUGAAAAUAUAUAUUAAGCAAAUUUUUCGUGGGAUCACUAAUAAGUAUUUAAAAAGCUUAAAUCUGUUAUUUAAUAUCUCAAGCAUGGUUUUCACACUAAAUCUCACUAAACAACCUUAUAAGUCUCCGACACCCUUUUGGUGUGUGCGCGCACGGCAUCUUCCUUUCCCUUCUCCCAAGGACAACCUGCAAUUACUUAAAUUCAAAUAUGAUGUCACCAAGCAUGUCAGCCACGACAGCGACUUCACCGGAUCGUGCGCCGGAAUGAAUAAAGACCCGACAGAGAGACAGACAGAGAAACGGGUGGAUCCGAUCGGAAGGCUACAGGGUUUACGAUCGUUGAUCGCGAUUUUGGUGGCAAAAGCCUGUGUGAAAGGUCGAAAAGGUGGACAUUUCGCCCCGUUGAGAUUAGUUACGAUAAAAUCUUCUUUUGAGUCGAACAGCCCCGACAUCGGUGCUGCGUAUUUUACCUGGAUUUCAGUCUCGAUUCUGCUGAGAAAGACGUAGAGUAGACUAGACCCAGGCUCUUGACACCUCAUCCCCGGCAUCCUUCCGUUUUUCUGUGGUUUCCGUGAUCAUGUCAAACUUCUUCAUCCUUGCACUACGACUAGCCUAAGCAAAUUUCUGUCUAUUCUCGUUAUCAGUCUUUUCGUGUUUCUUGACUUCAAUAUUUUAAAAAUUAAGCCGCGGCAUCUCUAUCGUGUUCGGCAAGUAACUUUGAAUUUCUCAUAUAAAAUCAACACGUGAAGUGAUAAUUUUAGUUGAGCCAUGGUAUCAGUGAGAGUUGAUUGGUUGACUAAAUUGGAUGAAAACAUCAAGGUUUCGCUCUUUAAUAGAGUGCCCAUUGAGUUGCUUGGAGUGCCCAUUGAGUUGCUUAGUAUAUAGUUUCUUAUCUUCAUUUUUUGUCAUUUAGUUUAGGAUUUCUACCCAUUUUUUGUUAAUAAAAAAACAUAAAGCAUAAGAAAGAGGACUCAAAGUUUCCCAAUGUACAUUAUUUUUAAUAAUUAUACGGUUCAUUGAAACUUUUGGCUCUGAAUACUUUGCACGGAUUUGCGUAGAUUGCCCUGUCUAGAUAUUUACGUCUAUCAGAAAAAGCUUACAUGCCGUCUAAUUUACUGUAGAGAAUAAUUUAUAUAAUUAUACCAGGACAUACAUGAAAAUAAUACAUAUCUUACUCAACAGCUCUUAGAAGAACAUAAGUGAAUCGGUUUGAAACAAAUCUAAUGCUUCACUGAACAAUUGUACAAAAGUAAUUUAAGUAUGGUAUGUCAGUAAUAUCCUCUAAAUCAUUUGACACGUUGCUAGUUUUCUCAUCAUCCAGAAUAGGGUUAAGAAGUACCUAGUCAUCUCACAUUACGAACUCAUGCCACAAUGAUAACUAGAACACGAGCUUUUCCAUUAGCAAUUUAUGUCAUGCUUAUAUAGCAUUGGUUUACUAUAAGAAAUCAAUAGCACGUCGUUUGUCUUUCAUUACGUAUCAAAUUAUCCUCUUAGGAACCCUCUUUCUUGCUGGGUGUUCUGCUACUAUAGCUAGAAUCACUCUUUUCACCACAUAAGAUACAGAGACGAUCUUGCAGGCCGACGUGGUCCUGCAACGAUAAUGCCAUCGCGACCUAUGGGAGCCACACAAAAGGUGGUCGGCACUGUUUCUCUCUGCCCCACUCGCCACAUGUGCGUGAAACUGCACCCGAUUCUUAUUCGCCCGGUUAUGGCACAAUCUAGCUUGUCUCUGCCAAUCGAAGGGCACCGUCCUAACUGACAUCGGCGGUGACGUCAAAAUUAGAAAAUAAUUAGUAAUACCACAAUAAUAUAUUCAUUGAAUAUAUGUUUUUGAAUCUAAAGCCUCCAUGCAAUUAAUGGUUGCACUUGUUUGUUUCUCGACCCCAUGUGAGUAUUGUCAGCUUAGCAAUAGAAAACCUAGAAAUUGUUCAUUUCAUAAUAUUUGGGGUGCAACUUGUGUGUAGGUGUUGUAGGGUUCUGUCGUGCCUUGUGGUGCGCUUACUCGUAAAAUGAGAACAUUAAUCAUAUAAUAAUCUUGUGUUCACAAUCACGUUUGACAAUUCCCUAUUCGUAGGUAUGCAAAGUAUUGGAUGAUUUUGUCAUUUUCUCAUCUCAAAAGUUAGCUUAAAGAAUGAGACUUUUACUCAUAUUUAUAAAUCGACUGCCAACUUCUAUAAUCGAAAUUCAAAUAAUCUUCUUCUCAUAAAUUGGGCCUUGACUGGAAGCCGCAAUAAUCUAUAACUCAACCUGGGCUCUAAUAAUAAUAUCAGGUGAUUUCGAGCCUUACUCAUCCCAAAAGUUAACUUAAGGAGUGGAGUUUUUCCUCACAUUUAUAAACCAACUACUAGCUUUUUGCACAAUCAAUGUGGAAGAACCCCAAUUAAAGGGUGUAAAAAUUAGAUUUCUACAAGUUCAAUUACUAGUGAAGAAAUUUCAUUGCCCAAGUACCAUAAAAACUAAGCGAAGAGUUAGCGAUGUGUAUGGGCGUCUUAUGGUGAAUAAUCAGCAUUGGCGCUAUUGAUUGAAGCUACUGAACUUUCGACUUGAAUCGGAAUAAUAAGGAAUUUUUUUCAAAUCCACAAUUAUUGGAAAAUGAACCUACGUGAACACUUUUUGGAUUGGCAUAGUAUGUGACAUUUUCACGCAUAAAAAAUAGGUUGAGUUCAAGCAUAAAGCGAAGUUAACAUUUAUCUAAAAGAAGGAUUCGCACAAUGCAAAAUUGGACUAAACGUUGGAUUAAAGAGUGAUAUGGGUAGUAGAAAGCACAAGAGUCCAGAAUAGCACCUCACUUUCUUAUUCAAUGUGCUGUUUCAUAUGCCCCGUCCGACUAAUUCAAUCAGUGGUUGGAAAGCCCAAGUGGGGCCCUAUCAAAAUCAUGGUCGACCUAAGAAAUUUACUGAAAGAAAAAUCAAAAUACCGAGUGACGUGCUUGCUGACGACGACAAUAAUCUCAAAACCCCUAUAAAUUGAGACGCUCCCUUCACUCCAGUCCCACACCAUUGGCUCUCUCUCACACAUCCUCCUCUGAAACUAGUGACGCAAUGUCUUCCAGGUACUUGCUAGUUUUGCUCCUGGGAGCGGUGCUUUUCGCCGCUGCCGUCCUCUCCGACGGCCACCACCCUUUCAAAAAAGAGCAUAAACCACACCACAAACACCACCACAAGCACCCCCCUGGUGGUCGCCGUCUCUUGGAGACCGUCGAAGCCGAGGACUCGCACAAGCCAUUCCCUAAACACAAGCCCCCGCACCACGGCCACCCUCACGAGCACAUUCUUGUCGAGGAGGUUGAAAAGGAAGACUCCCACAAAAAGCCAUUCCCCGGCAAGAAACCGCCCCACCACCCUGGCCACUUGCUUGCCGAGGAAGUGGAAGCCGAUGAAAAAAGGAAGCCAUUCCCUGAGCACAAACCCCCAAAGAAAGGCGACAAGCCACCACCAAAGCACAAGCCACCCCACGAGGGACACAUUUUGGUAGAGGAGGUGGAAGAGGACUCGAAGAAGCCAUUCCCUGAGCACAAGCCGCCCAAGAAAGGUGAGGAGCCCAAGAAGGGAAAGGGAGAGAAGCCGCCACCAAAGCACAAGCCACCACACGAGGGACACAUUCUCAUAGAGGAGGUCGAAGAGGACUCUAAGAAGCCAUUCCCUGAGCACAAGCCGCCCAAGAAAGGUGAGGAGCCCAAGAAGGGAAAGGGAGAGAAGCCGCCACCAAAGCACAAGCCACCACACGAGGGACACAUUCUCAUAGAGGAGGUCGAAGAGGACUCUAAGAAGCCAUUCCCUGAGCACAAGCCACCAAAGAAAGGCGAGGAGCCAAAGAAGGGAAAGGGCGAGAAGCCGCCCCCAAAGCACAAGCCACCCCAUGAGGGACACAUUCUUGUAGAGGAGGUGGAAGAGGACUCAAAGAAGCCGUUUCCUGAGCACAAGCCGCCCAAGAAAGGUGAGGAGCCGAAGAAAGGCAAGGGAGAAAAGCCACCACCUAAGCACAAGCCACCACACGAGGGACACAUUCUAGUAGAGGAGGUGGAAGAGGACUCAAAGAAGCCUUUUCCCGAACACAAGCCGCCGAAGAAAGGCGAGGAGCCGAAGAAGGGCAAAGGUGAGAAGCCGCCGCACCACAAGUCACCACACAAGCCUCCCACUGAGAACUGAGUAUGCGUUCUUCAAUGAAUGUAUAUGUCGUGUGUUUUUCACGGGUUCAAAUAAGAGCUGGUCCAUAGAGUGUCUGGCACUAUCGUGUUAGCUGGUCCGCUGUUUGUGCUCCAUGAGAUAAAGGAUGUAUGUACUUUGCUUGGGCAUGUCCUUUGACUUUGCCCACGUUGAUAUAUGCUGAGUACUUGCUAGCCAUGAGCUUUCCUUUCUAAAACUCUUCUAAGUGUCCCCUUCUGCAAUCUAACCUUGCCAUGUCCCGCGAGCACGAAAAGUUUGUUCAUACUCCUAAACCCUCAGCAAACAUAGAUGCACGACUAGAAUCUGAUUAAUAAUUAAGUGAAAGACGUAAAAUAGAAAGUUGAUUUGCACUAUUCAUUUGAAAAAUUCAUGCGGAAAGUAUUUAUCGGAGUGCUUAGAUAGGACUUGCUUAUUCAGAAUAGACACAGCAGAUUUUCAUCCAAACAAGUGUGCGAAGUACAGCUUUAAUCCAAAAAGCUUGGUUUGAUUAUCUAAGAUCUAAAAAUUGUGAUCAACUGCUUCUGACCCCCUUGUGAAGUAUGAAAAUGAAUAAUGAAUUUUUUGACAUAUUGAUAGUUGUACAUACAUGAGAUGAUAACAAUGGAUUGUAAGGAAAAUAUUGAUUCGAAUUGGGUAGAACACUGAAGUCAGAUUUUUAGAACAAACAAGUCAGACUUUUAAAGGUGAUAUUACUUUCUUUGAAGAUUUAUUUGCUUCAUAAUUGUUGUUAAUGGUUAUCAGCAAAUUUUCUCCAAAAUACAAUAAAGUCUUAAAUGAGAAUACUAGAUAGUAAUUCUAAUAUUUCUUCAGGGUCUCUCUAUAAAACAUUUGGAAAAGAUGAUUAUAUAUAUUUUGAAAGAAAACAAAAAUGGGAAGAGAAAGUUUGUGAAAAGACUUGAAAGUUCUACAAAGAAUUGAAUUGAAUAUUUAUAUUUGAAUGGAUGCAACCUUUCAGAGAUGAAGAAGUUAUUUCCAAGUAAACACAACCUUUCAAAGGUUGUAAUAGUGCCUAAUAACUAUUAGGCAAAAAUAAUAAAUUCUAGUUUAAAUAAUUAAAAAGUAACCAUCACUCUAUUAUGAACAAUGACAUUGUUUCACUAGGGCGCAAAAGUUAUUAUAUAUAUAUAUAUAUUUGGCGACCUAAGAUCCGCCGGGCCCGACUUUCACUUAUAAUCGCUAGCCCACGGCCCGUACAGUACGUGAUACACCUCGGACCAAGUAUCAAUACCUAAGAGGAAGCUAGCACAGGACCCCACCACCAUGGCCCCUCACUUAAGACGUGUUAGCAGCUGUGGAGUUUCGGCGAACCAACUCAGCUGUCCACCGGAGGGUGUUAUUUUAUAAUUAUUAAUUUUAAUUUUAAUGAAUAAAAAAUAAUUGUUGUUAAUUAGUGCAAAAUCUCGUUCACAUACGCACUCGCAUCGACAAGGCACCGCUUAGUUUGUUUUACAAACAAACUACAAACAUAGAUGAAUUAGAAACAUCAAUUUUUUCUAUUUAGCUAACUACUAAAGACUGUUAACAGAACCGUAUUAUUCUAAAUAGAUACUUACCGACGACCAAAAGCUACACUACACGUCCCAACAGAUUGAUCCGAUUUUACUUUUUAAAGAUAUGCUUCAAUUGACGUUUGACAAUUUGGCCAUCCUAAAUAGAUACCUACCGACGACUAAAAGCCACACUACACGUCCCAACGUAAUGAUCCGAUUUUGCUUCUUACAGAUAUGCUUCAAUUGACGUUUGACAAUUUGGCCUAACUGCUUUUGGACUGAUUUACCAAAUGGCCCACUAAUUCCUUCGUUUAGCACUUAUGCUAGUCAAAAUAUGAAUUUUCAUAUAACCUAAUUGGGUCGAGCAUUUCGGAUGUACCUAGUUAUAGAGCUAAAAUGUGCCAUAGUUUAUUUGGAAAGUUCUAACAAAGUUAAUUUAGCUCUUUUUUUGGAUGACCAUUUUCAUAUCUUCAUAUUUACACCGGUUUGCUAUCUCUAGACAAAACACCUAAAAAGACCAAAUUACUCUCCCAUACAAGUACCCAAGCCUGCGAACCCUCUCAUGAACCCUAGCCACUAUUGCCGACAAAUCCCUUCUCUCCCUCAACACACAUCACCAUCAGUUGCCAUCAAACCCCUAGCCCACCUUUAUAAAUCUUCAAGCCUUGAAACUCUCCCAAUUCCGAUAUCAAUUUAUAGAAUCUAAUGAUAUCUAAAAGUUUAUUUUCUAACAAUGAUGAUAUUUGAUUUAUCGUAUCAUCUCAUAAAAAAAGAAAAAGAUAAACUCCACCUUUUUCAUAAAGUCAGUACGUUCACCACGUAAAUUAAGAUUGACCAUAUGUUUGUAGGUGCUAUGGUCCUGCGUCCUAUACAUACAAACACCUAUGUGACCCACCAAGGUGGCCGGUACCACCAAUAACUCAAUAUGCUCCCACUUGCCGCACGUGCUUGGAUUUGUAAUGGUUCCAAUCAAUUUGUAUGUAUAUCCAAGACAAGUUAUGUACUUUGUAUUAUUUUUUUGACUAAUUUCAUGAACCCAGUUAAUCAAAAUGUUGAAUCAUGUGAAACCAUAUAAGAGUCGACAUGUGAUCUAAUGGAUAUAGUGGUUCAUAUGUGAGACCAUAUAAUGUAGCGAUUAUAGUACAUCAAGCUCAUACGUAUCUAAUACAUGCAAUGCUGGUGGAUACUUGAUGUGAGUGCCCUCGCGACGUGGGACGAUACCGUGAAGUCAAAAGAAGUCUAUACUACCCUAGACUUACCAGCCCAAUUCCAAUUCCCCCAGAUUUUAUUCGAUGUUGUACCCUAUCAAUUAAUGCCUCCUUUGUCGGGUACGUUGCCUAAUUUAAGGUCACAGUCCCAAAUGAUAUGGGCAGUGACGUCAUAUUAAAGCAAUUUAGUAAUUUGAAUGUGCUUUAUAUUCAAGACACAAUCCCUAAAAAUGAGGCCCUCGAUGUUAUAGUGAAUACACUCCUUUGUAUAUCGCCCAAGUAAGCAUAAGUUUUUCUGAAUUCACCUCGUUAAUGGAAAAUGAACAAAGUUGCACGUUAACGACUUCGGAUAAGACAAGCUAGUAGUUUAUUAUGCUCUUAGGAGGUGCAAUCUGUACGCGAUAAAACAAAGUUGUUUAUUCUCUCCGUGCCCUGUGAUUUUUGCUUGUAACUUAAGAACAUCGAUAUUGACCAAGUGUGUAAGUUUUAAGAACAAGGAUUUUAGCAAUUCUAUCGUCAGUGAAGAAUUUCUAUUGCACAAACGCUAUUGAUCUCGUGGUGUCGGUAAACUUGACAUAAACUCUUAUUAGGUCUAUCAUUAAAGUGGAAAAAUUUAUUGAAACCACACUUUAGAUCGAUGAUACGUAAAAAUUACAAUCACAUUGGACCAUCGGCCGAUGAUCACGUUGGAUAUAUCAUUGAAGAACAUGAAAUAUUUUGGAGAAAAAGAAUUCCUUUUCAAUAUAUUUUCAUAUCUCUUCUUGAUACCAAGAAACACACGCGCACACACAAGAGAACCCUACUAUAGGUUAAUCCUAAGAUUCCCUUUAAAUAAAGAAGCACAACAGGUAACAAAUUAGUAUACAAAACUUCCUAAUUUAGUUCCAAUUUAUAGCUCACACCAACACUCCCCCUCAAGUUGGUGCAUAAAUCUCUUCGAUGCCCAACAUGUCAAGUGUGCUAUAGAAGAUCUUGCUCAAUACAACCUUUGCCAGUAUAUCAGCCCGUUGAUCUUCAUAUUUAACAAAAGGAAAUCGAACUAUCUCGGUAUCUAGAUUCCAUCUAAUAAAAUGUUGAUCUACCUCAAUAUACUUUGUACGAUGGUGCUGAAUUGGACUGUGAGAAAUAUCAAUGGUUGCCUAAUUGUCACAAAACAAAUUCAUCUUAGACUUAGGAGUGAAGCCAAGUUCUGACAUCAACCUCUUAAGCCAAAGAAGUCACAAUGUCCUUUGGUCAUUUCCGUAAAUUUAGCCUCUACACUCGACAACACUAUCACUUUUUGUUUCUUGCUUCUCCGAGUGACUAAAUUCCUUCUUAGUAGGGAUAUACAAAACAAAGUGCCCAAACCAAGAACUGCCUAGACCAGACUGGCUGGUGUGGUCCAGUUUCCAAGAGUAUCGGUUCGGUUCCAAGUUCCUAAAAGUGGAGUUGGUUUUUGAACAGUAUGGUUCUUGGUUCCAAGGGAAAACCGAACUGGACCGAUUAAAUGUAUUUUAUUUAUUUAUUUUUAUUUCUUAAAAAAAUUAGUAAAAUUUGAAGUAAACACAAUCUCGAUCUAGUUUCAAGUAAUGAAAAAAAAAGUAAAGGGAAAAAAGUAAUCAUGAAAAAUCAAUGAUCAUUUCCAUUGCUUAGACCAAUGAUUCGAUUUAGUUUUCGAUCCUACAACUAACUGGUUUGGUCCCUGAUUCCUAUUUUUGGAAAUUGGACUGAACUAAUUGGAUCAGGAACCGAUCACCCCGACUUCCACAAGAGUACAGUUUCAUAAUAUCGAUUUCCUGUUAGAAACACUUCCCGCCCAAUCUGCAUCUACAAAACCUUCAAUUUCAAGAUGAGCAUUCCUUGAAAAGAAAAGUCUUUCCUUGGAGCAAACUUCAAGUAGCGAAAGAUUUGAACCACAACAGCCAUAUGAUCUUCAUUAGGUUCAUGCAUAAAUUGACUAACAAUGCUUAUAGCAUAUGUAAUAUUUGGGCAAGUAUGGGACAAAUAGAUUAACUUGCCCACUAACCUUUGAUAUCUCUCCUUAUCGAUUGGUACCUGAUUUAAAUAUUACCCAAGUCCGUGAUUCUGAACAAUUGAAGUAUUAGUUGGCUUACAAUCUAGCAUUGCCACCUAUAUCAAUAGAUCCAGUACAUAUUUCAUUUGAGACUACUUCAAUUCCUAAGAAAAACUUGAGUCUCCUAAGAUUCUUCAUUUCAAACUCCGUCAUAAGAGCAGCGUCAUUGACCUGGCAUGUGAGCAAUAGCCAUGGUAGACCAAAUUGAAUUGGCGACCCUACAUGGGCGCGAUGAGCCUCCCUCUAUAGCAGCAAUCCUUGAUGAUUUGACAAUGAAGAUGCAAUAGAUUUUGACCCAGAAUCAUACCAUAAGUCUUCCACAACCCAGAUCACCACCAAGUUGGGCAACACUAGCUAUGGACUUCAGUUCUAAGUUGUUGAGAUGUAUACCUCUAGAAAAGACAAAUUGUGAUGUAUUAAUGGGGACCUUCCACAACCCCAAUUGAUAGACCCAAGCUUUAGAAAGUGGAAAAAUGAAGAUUCAAUAGUGAAAGUAUGGUUAAUUAAUUCCAUUGAUCCAACCUUAAUAGGUAACUUUAUCAAGUCCCCAACUACAAAGACGAUAUGGGAUUCGGUUGCUAUUACUUUUUUGAUGGAAUUGAUACUUCUCAAGUUUAUGAUUUGAAGAGAAAUGUGACCAGAAUGAUAUAGGCUGGGGGGGGGGGGUAAGUACAUUAUCAAUGUCAAAAGUUGUAUACGGCGCUCACUUUGGUGCAAAAGUUUCCGUUAGAUCACUUAAGUACCAAAUCGGAGAAAAAACGAUCACUUCGGUGCCACCGGCAAGAGAUUCUGGCCCAGAUUAAUUACGUGGCUUUUAUAUUUUUUUUAAAAAUAAGUUGCAGUGGCUUUAAAACGAUGUCGUUUUCCAUCCUCCUCAAGAAACGAUGUCGUUUUGCCGUCAUAUGUGGACAUCCUCAUAGAAAUGACGCCGUAUAGCUCAUAUGGGGAUUGAAAUUAGGGUUUGUUUGUUGUUCACCGCUCGGCCACUGUCGUUCGCCCACCAUCACUUGGCCACCGUCACUCGGCCACCAUUGUAGUUGCUCGACCAAGUUAGCGGGGAGAGACUAAGAUUGUUGCUCAAGCAAUAAGUGGCGGGAAGAAUAGGAGGCGAGGGUGGAGGAGGAGGAGGAAGAAGAGCGAUCGAAGGUGCCGCCGCUGGUGCGCUACUGCUGUUGCUAGUGUCAUUGCUGGUGCUAUUGCUGGUGCAUUGCUGCUGGUGCUGUUGGUGCGCUACUGUUGCUAGUGCGUUGUUGUUCUUCGAGGAAGAAGAAGACGACAUGCUUCUCUCUCUCUCUCUCUCUCUCUCAAUUUGAGGAUUUAGGGUUCUAAGUUAAGGGAAAUAUGCCAAACGACGUCAUUUUGUUGUUUGGAUGUUGAUUGUAAUCUCCAACGAGCCGCGUCAGCUUCAAAAAUUAAUAAAAAAGUGCCACGUCAGAUUUCCGGCCAUUUUGAUCGGCGUUGGCACUAAAAUGAUCAUUCUUCAAAUUUGUUGGCAUUUAAGUGAUCCAAAAUAAACUUUUGGCACCAAAGUGAGCGUCGUACACAACUUUUGGCACUGAUAGUAUACUUACCCCGACAGGUUGGAGGAGCCAUUGAAACUUACUACAAUGGUCUUCAAGGCUUGUGGUGGGAGAUGGAUUUCCACCACCCAAAUCCGAUUGUAUAUCCUAUUAAUAUAGAGAGAUGCAAGUCAGCUAUAUAAGAAGAUAGAGUGUAUCUUUUCCUUGAUGGAUUGGAUGAUCGCUUGGAUAAAGUCCGAGUUGAUGUGCUCCAAAUGCAACCAUUCCCCACAAUUGAGCAAGCUUAUGCUAAUGUUUGACGGGAAGAUGUACGACAAACGAUGAUGUUGACGAGCAUAGACACCACACACACACACACGCCAUUGUCAUGGCGUUGAGGGGGAUUAAGAUAGAACCCAGGAGGUGCCAAUGCUAUGAAUGUCCAAGAUGGUUGUCUCUACAAGUGGUGGAAAGAAUAGUACUAUCCCAAGGCAGAAAUCUCAAACAAUUAGUCAAUGCACUCACCAUGGUAACAUGAAACAUAGUCAUGAGACGUGCUUUAAGUUAUAUGGGUAUCUAGAUUGGCGUAAAGAACUCAAGGCACGAAAAUAGGUUAAAGGUGAGGCAAAUGGAAAAAAAGGAAAUAACCUACAUAUAUAUACACUAAUGAUAUUCUCUAACAAGGAAACCUCUGAUCUCCAUAUAUAUAUAUAUAUAUAUAUAUAUAUUUUUUAAUCACUACCCUCAAGCUAGAGCAUCCAACUUGCAUAUGAUUAGUGCAAAUUACUUUGAAAUUUUGUGAGCAAGUGCCUUAUAAGCCAGACCUUACACUAAACAAAUCGGAUUUGAUAAGCGCUAAAGCAACACAUGCUUAGAAAGUUGACAUAUUUUUCUCAUACAAACUUGAUAGAAUCGUGUGGAACCCAACUUGAAUCGUAGCAAACUAAACUACAUCACCCUACAAUGCUCAUCCUCGGCUACUUGAUGAAGUUUGUUCAACUACAACUCUCAUAGCUACUUGGAUACUUGAUGACAUCACUCCAUGGCGCUCAUCCUUGGCUACCCAACGAAGGUAUGCUUGACUCCGGUGCUCACAGCUAUCUAGAUAUUUGACAGUGACUUCACCUGUUGAUGUUACUCACAAUUAGAAGAGAGUACCCCAAUGGAUAAUGUCCAUAGUAGCAUUGUUGAGUGUUGACAAUAUGAGGAAGUUACUGAAGAUGAGACAACUAAAGAUAGCAUAAAGGAAGAAAAGCUGAGGUUCGAUUUAAUUCCUUCUCUCUUGGUGGCUAUGAUACCAUGAAGAAAAGGAAAGACUUGGAGAAGAAGAAUUCUUUUCCAGUAUACUUUCAUAUCUCUUCCUAAUGAAAAAAAAAACAUAUAAUUUAUCGCAUAUAUAAUAAGAGAACCCUAUUUUAAGCUAAUAUUAAGAUUCAGUUUAAAUCAAGAAGCAUAACAGAUAACAAAUUAGUAUAAAAACUUCUUGAUUUAAUUUUAAUUUAAAAAUCACACCAAUAAUCAUGUCGUCUAAAAAAAAGUAGAUAAAUUCCACCUAUUUCCAUGAUAUUAUUAGGUUCACCACAUAGAAUAAUAUUGUCCAUAUAUUUGUAUGUGGUAUGGUUGUCUAUGUGCCUCACGAAGGUGGUUGGUACUACCAAUAGCUCGUUAUGCCUCAACUGCCGCACGUCCAUGGAUUAGUAACAGUAGCAAUGAAGUUGCAUGUAUUUCCUUGUUAAGUUAUAUACUUUGUAUUUUUCUUGAGUGAUUCUUUGAACCCAAUUAAUCACAAUGUUGAAUCGUGGGGGACCAUAUAAGCACCACAUGUGAUUUAACGGAUGUAGUGAUUCAUAUGAGAAAUCCUUAUAAUGUAACAAUCAUAGUACAUCUAGCACAUACGAAUCUAAUAUGUUCAGUUUUGGUCGAUACUUGAUGUGGGUCCAUUUGCCACGUGGAAAGGUUCUGUGAAGUCAAAAGAAGUCUAUAAUAUAAUUAGAAUAACCAGCCCAAAUAUAAAUCGCCCGCUUAUAACUCAAUCUUGUAGUUUAUCUUUUUGUGCCACCUUUGUCGGGUGCCUUGCCUAAUUUAAGAUUACAGUCCCAAGUGACAUACGCAGUGACGUCAUAUUAAAGUAAUUUAAUAAUUUGAAUGUGCUUUAUAGUCCAGACACAAUCCCCAAACUGAAGCCGUAGAAAGUGUGAUUGCCAAUACACUCCUUUUAUUUCUCGCCCAUGUGAGCGUAAGUUAAACCUACCUAUUUCACCGCCGUUAACAGAGGAUGAAGAAAAUGGCACCUUGCUGACUUCAGUACACUAGCUAAUAUUGUUUAUUAUAGUCUUAGGAGGUGCAAUCUGUAGGAUGAUUAAAUAGAGUAGUUUACUCUUUCUAUGUCAAGUGAUUUUUGCUCGUAACAUAAGAACACUAACAUCGAUUAUGUGUAUAAGUCUUAGUUUUAAAUUGUUGAAAUCCAGGUUGUCGCAAUUUUUCUCGAGAUGAACCAUCAAGGGAAAGUUAAUGAAUUAAUAAGUAUGCAUGAACGGUUGCUCAUUAAAAAGAUAGUGCAAUUGCCUAGUGCAAACUUCCCCAAACCCAUGCCAAUGACAACUUGAAUUUUAAUUUAAACACGUAAUAUAUCUUACUUUUUAGAGCUGUCACUACUUAUGGGUUGAUUAGAGAGUAUGCCUUACUUUUGUGAAACAGAGAUUCUAAAUAUGUGUCACAACCUCCCUUUCGAGCCCCCUUACUUGCGAGCAUGGCAGAGGCUAAUGGCUUGCUAAGUAUUAGGCUUAGUACAGGCUCCUUCAAGCCCAUCAAUUCACGACUUAUAGUUCGAGUAUUUAACUUGCAAGUCAAUUUCAAAUAUGAGUCGUCACUAAUCGAUUUGGGGUAGGCCGAUUAGAGACUCAAGUGAAAGAUUUGAAGAAAUACUUCACUCCUUCGCAAUUAGAGAAAUUAUGAUCAAUGACUUGGUUACACUAGUUAAUCACUAAUACUUUUUCGAUACCUAAUCUUGUUUAAAUAUCAAGUAAAGCAUUUGUGUAGCAUUUUUAUACCAAUCAUGAAUUCUAGAAUUCAAUUCUUCACCAAAGUAAGGAAAUAGAAAUCCAUGCAUCAUAAGAGCGUAAUUAGAAUAAGUCAAUAUUUACUUCCAAGAACUUAAACAUGAUUCUUUUUCUUUUUUUAGGUUUUUCGAUGCAUUUAUGGAGGAAACUAACCAAAAACUAUUUUUUAGACCUUUUCUGAUUUUUUUGGAAAACAUAAAUCAUUUUUGGAUUUUUUUUAUUUAAAAAAAAUAAUUUUUUUCAGAUUUUAAAUUAAAAUAACAAUAAAACAAAAGUUGACCUGGUGGGUGAAACCCACGAGCCGGCCCGACCGGGAUCCGGCCCGAUCAACUCGGGUCGCACCUCCGGGGGCUAGACGCGAGGUCCCCCUGUCUCCUAUUUUCCUUUACUCUUUUAUCCCUUUCCUUGAUCAUUUCCUUUUAUCUCUCUCUCUUCCUUGUCUUGUCUUUUCUUCUCUCUUCACACGUCAGACUAGUGAGAGAGAGAGAGAGAGAGAGAGAGAGACCCAUUUUGUCUUUACUCUUUUUUGACUUUUCUUUCUUCUCUCUUUGUUUCUCUCUGUUGGGAAUGAUUGAUCCCCGAAAACCGGAUUCGACACUAAAUCGAACCCCUAAAUCAAUGCGGAAGACGAAGCCCGGGAAAAACACGUAUCACCGAUCGUAAAGCACACCACGGAUUCGAGCGUACCUUGUUAGCCACAGAUUAGACACCAAUGCCGAUAGAGGAAGAGCAAUUUGUCCUUUGUUCGAUCCGAUGACGCUUGAAGGGGAGAAAACAGUGGCCUUGUGCUUACUGUCCUUUUUCUUUUGUUGGAGAGAGAGCGAGGGAGAGAACGUACGUAUGUUCUGAUUCCAAGAGUUAUCUUCUCUCUCUCUCUCUCUCCUCCCUUUUAUAGCUUCCCCCUCCACGGGCCCUAAUCCCGUGGGCCGGGCCUUUUGGGCCGAGCAUGGGCGGACGGGCCUUGAGCCCAAUACAUAUAAAACCAUCAUCUCCCACUCGCACAUGGUGGGCUGAACAUGAUUCUCUUUACCUCUCUUCAACAUUCAUACCGAUGAAUAAUCCGUGCGACCAGCAUACUUUGAGAGCUCGUUGCUAUACAUCUGUUAGGAAUAUAUAGCAGCUCAUAAUGGGCAUCACACUCCGAGUAGAUUUAGUAUGUAAUACCCUAGAUCGAUUGAUCACAUUUAUAUCUCUCUUGAUCUCUUUUCAAACGAUGAUAUAUAUAUAUAUAUAUAUAUAUAUAUUGUAUUCACAAUUAUGAUUAUCACAAAGACAAUCAUAAUUGGUUAACCGGUGAAUACAAAACUACAAUGUGAUUCUCCAAAAUCAAUCUUCCUCUUUCCUUCAAACUCUCAAUUUCAGUUCAGCUUGCUUUUCUAGAAAUGCCCCAUUAGAUCGAAUCAAACUCAUGACCAUUGGCAACAUCCUAAGAUAGCAAACAUUAAAUAGAAAUCUUGAGAAUAAGUAAGAGUCAUGAGGGGACUAAAAAAUUGAGGAACUCUUUUCCUCAAGAGUCUCACACGACAUAAAAAAGUUGAGAUCAAACUUUUGCCACUCUUAUUGGUCGUCUCAUGCAUACGUAGUAUGAAAUACGUAUUACGGUAUCAACUCCUUUCCCAUGGAGCGUAUGUCUACACCUUUCAAUACCGUACAGAUGAUAGUUCAGACAUACCCAAUGUCUAACUUGAGUUCACGUAUCUACUCAUUCACUAAAUUCAUCAGAACUCACAUCUAGCAUCAUAUACAGAUAAAGUAAAAUAUGUGGGGUAUUUUACUCUCGGACAUAGUAAGUAUUAUGUCCUCAUCUUAACACCCAGUUAAGGCAACAUACGUGUUUUAAGCUUGAGCUCUCGAUUAUCACCUAGAUAAUAAGCUUAAAAACAGUCUCAUCUCUAUUUAUCACACAGUAAAUAGAGGCGAUUACCCGUGUGAGUGGGCUAAUCUCAUAUCUGUUCGACAUACUUUCCUAACUUAAAGUAAUGCACUGAGCAUUAAGAUGCAUAAAGAUCAAACAAAGAUUCAUAGGCAUUAAUGAUGAAAAACAUAAAUUCAUCAUAUGUGAACACUUAGGGAAAAUUAUAAUAUUCAGUACAUUAGCCUCUACGCAGUCCUAGAGAUUUCAUAUGGCCACAAAACACAUCUCUAGGUACUGGCUUUGUCAUAGGAUCUGCUACCAUUCUAUGCGUAGUAUGUACUCUAAGUUCACAUCUUUUUGUGCAAUCAUAUCCAUGACAAAAUUAUACUUGGUAUCUAUAUGUUUGGUCUUGUCAUGAUAUUUUGGAUCUUUGGUGUACGCUUUUGCUGCUUGGCUAUCAUAAUUAACUAACAAUUAAUCUGCAGCACUUCCAAUAACACCUAAAUGAUCCAAAAAAUCUCUUAAGCCAAACAUCUUCUUAUACUGCUGCUGAUAAUGCCACGAACUCAAUUCCCAUCGUGGACAAGGCUAUACACUUUUGUUUCUUACUGCUCCAACACAUGGUGCCAUUAUUCGGUAAGAAAACAAACCUAGAGGUAGAUUUCCUUUUAUUUAAAUCUCCUCCCCAAUCAUCAUCAGAAUAGCCUUAGAGUCGCAGAUCCUUUCCAUAAUAACUCAGCGUAUAAUCAGCAGUCCCCUUUAGAUACCUUAGUAUUCUUUUAACGGCUUUCCAACAUGCUUGACCUGGAUUGGAUUGGUAUCUGCUCACCAUUCCAACUACAUAACAUAUGUCAGGUCUUGUACACAUCAUAGCAUACAUCAAGCUCCCAACAGCACUAGCAUAAGGAACAUGUUUCAUUUGUUCCUUCUCUUGUGGAGUCCUUGGACACAAUCUAUGGCUCAAUCCUUCACCUUUUGCAAUAGGAGUGUUUAUGGGUUUACAAUCCCAUAUCAUUCAUCUCAAAAUUGGAAGACAACCAACUUUUGACAGUAUGAACAAACUCCAUAUUACUUUCGGCAAUUAGUAUAUCAUCAACAUAUAAUGAUAUGAUCACAAAUUGAUCCUUGGAUCUUUUGAUAUAUAUACAAUGAUCCUCAUCUAUCAUUGUAAGAUCAUAUGCUAUUAUGGCAUUACGAAAACGUAUAUAUCAUUGUCAUGACGACUGCUUAAGGCCAUAUAUCGACCCCCAAAGUCAACAUACCUUUUCUUCUUGGCCUUUCACUAUGAAACCAACAGGUUGUUCCAUAUUUAUUUAUUCCUCUAAUUCUCCAUUGAGGAAAGCAGUCUUUACAUCCAUUUGAUGUAACUUAAGAUCCAUACUAGCCACUAUUGCCAGAAUAAUGCGAAUCGAGAUAAAUCCCUCUACAGGAGAAAAUGUAUCUUCAUAAUCAAUUCAUUCCUGUUGAUUAUACCCCUUCGCCACAAGGUGAGCCUUAUGCUUUCUAUCGAGCCAUCAGCCUUUCGCUUUAUUUUGAGAACCCACUUGUUCCCAAUAGCUCUGCGUCCCUUUUGGAAGAUCAACCAGUUCCCAGACUUGGUUUGACUUCAUUAACUCCAUCUCCUCUUUUAUUGCAUAAAUCCAUUUUUCCUUACUAGGGCGUUUAAGAGCCUCAUUAAUAUUUCUUGGCUCAUACUCAUCUUGUGGAGCAACCAUAAAAGUUUCCCUUUCAAUGUCAAAACAUCGACGGGGAAUACUUUGACGACUUGUUCACCGUAUGGGAGAUUGUACACUUAGCACAUCAUUCCCCAUUAUGCUCCCACUUGGAUUAGGUAAUGAUGAUGUCGUCACAUCAGGUGGUUGCAAUUGAGAAUGAGUUGAAUUCAAUUCAUCACAUCUCAUAUUACUCCCACUUGGACGAACUCAACCAAUAUCAUUAUCUAGAUCCAAGGUUUCAAAUAGGAAGUAAUCUUUCCCUAUUUCGCCCUUCUUAAGAAAUUCAUCCACUAAGAAUGUGACAUCCUGUGAUUCAAAUUCAGUUAUUCUCCCACUUUCCUGCUCACCUACGAACACAUACCAUUUUGAGUGUUCGGAGUAUCUCAUUAAAAUACUCUUAUUUCCUUUAGGACUCAAUUUCCCAAACUUGUGAGAGAACUCAUGAGUAUAGACAGCAUAACCCCAUGGCUUAAGUAAACUUAAGUCCGGUUUUCUACCUAUCCAUAACUCAUAUGGAGUGGAACUAACUGAUUUGGAAGGCACCCGGUUAAGUAUUUAGGCAGCAGUUAACAACGCAUCACUCCAAAAAGUGAUAUGUAAGUUAGCAUACGCCAUCAUGGACCUAACCAUUUCUAGUAGGGUUCUGUUUCUUCUCUCUGCAACACCAUUUUGUUGAGGAGUAUAUGGAAUAGACAACUAUCUUUCUAUUCCUUUUUCAUCACAUAAUUUUCUAAACUUAUCAGAUAAAUAUUCUCAACAUCGAUCGGAUCUAAAUACCUUUAUUUUCUUGUCUAAUUGAUUUUCUGUUAGGUUCAUAAACCUUCUGAAACAACUUAUGCUUCAGAUUCAUGAGAAAUCAAAUAGACACAUCCGAAUCGAGUAUAAUCAUAUAUUAAAAGUGAUGAAGUAAACAGUCCCAUGCCUUUCUCUCACAUUCAUUGAACCACAAACGUCAUAAUGGAUUAAAUGCAGAGGAACAUUAGCUCUUUUACUUUUUCCAAAUGGUUUCCUUGUCGUUUUCCCUUCUAGGCAAUGCUUACAUAUGGACAAAUCGACUUAUUCAAUAUUGCCCAACAAGCCAUCUUUGGCUAGUCUAUUCAUAUGUUGUUGGCCAAUAUGACCAAGUCUAGCAUGCCACACAUUCACAUCAUUAUCACAUGAAGUAAAAGACGUGAAACAAGGGAAUAACAUAUUGACAUCACCACAGUCAACAUUCAGUACAAUAAAACCAUCCAGAAAGUGACCACAACCAUAGUAGUUUGUAUCCAAAUACAAAUCUACACAGUUAUUACGGAAGUUCACACUAAAACCAAGCUUAACCAACAUCAAAACAGACAAUUAAAUUUCGACGAAUCUCCAGAGCAUUUAGAACAUCAUGUAGGAACAAGUUGCGUCCACCACACAUGUUCAGUUGGCAGGUGCCAAUCCUUUUAACUUCAGCUCUGGAGUUGUUUUCCACAUAGAUCCACUCAGUUCUAGUUGGUAUUCGUCGGAAUUCCACGAAGGAUCCUUUAUCCUUCGCUACAUCGUCUGUUGCUCCUGAAUCUACAGUCCACAAAGGAUUGGAUUCGGCCAAUAAUUCAGAACUUGACACAUAAUCAAAGUUCUCAAAUGUACAAGAGGUGUUUACUUUCUUUGGCUCACAACAGUCGCGAGCAUAGUGACCCUUCUUGUCACAAUUGUAACACCUCACCCUUGACAUUUUCUUCACUUGAGGACAUUUUCCUCUCUUGUGUUGGUUAAGUCUUGAUUUCUUGCAAUAAGGACUUGAUCCUUUGCAUUCCCACAUAUUGAACGAAUCAAUACGCUUGCGCUUAGAGCACAGAGCCCUUUCUGAGCUAGAACCAGCAUUGCAAAUAUCUAUUUUCUGUUCAAAUGCUGUUAGUCGGUCCUCAGCUAGCUCAAAGUGGCGCACAUCAUUUAUAAGAUCUUCCAUAACAUGGUCAAGAGCUUCUAGUGCUUCUUGCUUUUUCAGCACAUAUUGAAUCUUCAUAUUCAAUAUUUCACAAUUGUUGCCGUUCAUAUCAACAAUUACAUUCUUAGUUGCUGAAACCAUCGAUAUGAACAAAUCAGACAUAUAUGCACGAAUAAUUAAUGCCUAUCAUUUAUGCAUCCACUUUUACAUAGACCCAUCAUAUUAAUGAAUAAUUUCAAGUAAGGCUUCAGAAUCAAAAGGUCACUAUGUUUCCAAUCAUCCUCCAAAAAUCCUAACUUAAAACUAUCAUUAAUAUGAUUGUCAUAUGCAAAAUCAAUUCUAUGAAGCUACAAAAACUUCUAACACUACCCACAGCUAAUUACCCACAGCAACCAGCAAUAACAGAAAGCAAAUAAAAUCUAAUAUCCAAUAAUAUAACAAUGCUUUCAUAUGAUACAACUAACAUAUCAGUUGCUAUAUCAACAACAAUCAGGUAGUAAACAUUGCAUAAUUAAUCAAAGAAAUAAAUAGGGAAUGUCCCUUCUAAUCUAUCAAUCAAAACAUCUGAGAAAACUGAAGGCACAUUUGCCAACUAUGGAAAAUUUUUUGGAGAGCAUUCAUGUCGCCACCAAGGCGCAUUCACUCUACGCCAUGUGGCGCUCAAUCUAAGGGUUGAAGUUUUGGCCAACUCAAUCCUAUAGUACUCUCUUACAAAAGCUUCCACUAGCCCCCUGUAAUCCGGGACCACGUUGACCUCCCAUAGCCGAUCUAACACUGCUUGCCAUUCAGGUGGAAGAGUGUUCAUCAAAGCCGGCACCUUCUCAAAAUCCGGCAUAAGAUAACCAUUCCAGAUGAUUUCCUGUAUCAUCUGAUUCACCUUGACCAUGUGUGAUACUAAAUCACCAUCAAGCCACCGAUAAUCAGCUAACUCUUUCAUCAGCCUUUUCAGUCUAGCUCUUCCUUCGUCCGUUCUUGGGAUUGCAGGUAUCCGUGCAUAACGCAUCAUAGUUCCUGCAACAAAUGCAGAACUAAAAUGGAUCACUUAUAAUCCAUAAUAAACAAAUGGAAAAUACAUAAUUUUCCAUGAUUCAUGCAACAAAUGCAGAAUGAAAAAUGGAUUACCUACAACCCACACAGACAUAAUUGAAAAAGAAACAAAUUCUUUUUUUUUUCUUCUUUUUUUUUUCGGGUCAACGGUCAACGGUCGGUCACGGUCAACCGUCGGUCAACGAUCGGUCAACGGGUCAACGGUCGCUGGUCGCCGGACGAACCGGGCGGACCGGACAGACUGGUCAGGCCGGUUCGGGCGAACCGGACAGACCGGUCAGGCCGGUUCGGGCGAACCGUCCGCACGUGCCGCGCGCGUGCGCGAGAUGACGUCACGAAGACGUCACUCGGCACGUGCCGCGCGCGUGCCGGGCGUCGCGGUUCAGGUCGGGUCGUCGUCGGGUCGGGUCGUCGGCUGGUGACCGCCCGGCGAAACGUUGUCGGCGAUGACGUCAUCGAUGACGUCAUCCGAGCGGUUACCGACCGUUGGAUGAUGUCACGGUGAUGUCAUCACGUGACGUCAGCACAUGUCGUUCCGCGGACCGGCGCGUGCCGUUUCGCCGGUCGCCGGCCCGCACGUGCCGGUUCGUCACCGGCGCGUGUGGCGCACGCGCUGGCCAUUGCCAGUGCUUCGGGCACGUGGCUCCCACGUGCAGGGGCUUGUGGCCGCGCGUGUGGGCGCAUGCGGCGUCGUCCGGCAACGCACAACAUGUCGCCGGACUUGUCUCGACGACCUCUUUCACCCCGUGCUUUCAGAAUUCAAUUUCGACUUACGAAAACUCAGAAAAAUGGCCAAACAGCGCUCGGGUGUCUGGAUUUUUCGCCCCGAUCCGUACGGCCGAAGUUCUUUCGCGAAAAAUCAAUCAAAAACUUCAAAUUGAUCGGGAAAAACUUUAACUAGGGCUCUGAUACCAAUGUUGGGAAUGAUUGAUCCCCGAAAACCGGAUUCGACACUAAAUCGAACCCCUAAAUCAAUGCGGAAGACGAAGCCCGGGAAAAACACGUAUCACCGAUCGUAAAGCACACCACGUAUUCGAGCGUAUCUUGUUAGUCACAGAUUAUACACCAAUGCCGAUAGAGGAAGAGCAAUUUGUCCUUUGUUCGAUUCGAUGACGCUUGAAGGGGAGAAAACAGUGGCCUUGUGCUUACUGUCCUUUUUCUUUUGUUGGAGAGAGAGCGAGGGAGAGAACGUACGUACGUUCUGAUUCCAAGAGUUAUCUUCUCUCUCUCUCUCUCCUCCCUUUUAUAGCUUCCCCCUCCACGGGCCCUAUUCCCGUGGGCCGGGCCUUUUGGGCCGAGCAUGGGCGGACGGGCCUUGAGCCCAAUACAUAUAAAACCAUCACUCUCCUCUCUCUAUCUUAUGUCUUUCGGGUCUCUCCUUCACUUUGCACGAAAUGGCUGAAACACUGCCGACCUCACCUUUCCCAAUGAUCGCCAGCUCAAACGUAAAAAUAAGACUUAGACUUAACUAACUAGAAAAAGGAAACAAAAAAGAAAGGCACAAGAACGAGGGAGUCGCGCCCAGCUACCACCGCCACUCUCCAACCUCGCCGGGCAAGAAUCAAUCGCUUGUAAAACCAGGAUGCAUGCUGAUAAUAACCAUGAAACGAGGUAGACCGAGCAAAAGAUGUCAGUGGAAAUCUACAAAAACGUAUUCGACAAACCAUGAACACCAAGAAUGAAUGCAUAUAUCUCAACCAGGCAUUUCAACAAGCACAUAGGGUGCAUCGGUAAGGGAGUUAGAGAUGAGGAUAACGCGCUUGGUAUCAAGCCGUGAUUGAAAGCCAACGACACCCAAAACUUUGCGAUCGCAGUUCGCACCUAAAAGAGGUUGGAGACUGACCCGACCCGAAGGAUGGCAGCUCAACCGAUGGGCCCGAAACAGAGUACGAAACAAGGUACUACAGGUGUUCGGUUGAAGGAGCCCUACCCGGCUUGACGGUAUCAGACAGCGAACGAGCUCGACAGAUCAGGCUACAUUUGCUCGCCUCACUUGUCUCCAAGUCGGGUCCCUUGAGAAAUCGACCCUAAACCCAUAAAAAAGAUAAACCCAAACGGAACCUACCACGGCUUUGAUGCGAACAAAGCAUGAUGACGGCCGAUGACUGUCCCCUUUAUUCCACCCUUACUCGCGACUCUCAGCUCACCCUCACGGUCUCUCAAGUAUUUCUCACCCUUUCCACCUCUCCUCAAAUCUGGCCUUUCUCUCUCAGCAAGUAAUUUCAAGAAUUAUUAAUAUGCAUCAUUGCUCACGAAAAUCAUGCAACAUCAUCCAAGAUGCAAUAAUUAUUAAAUUUUGACAUUGUGGUGUAGAGAUAAUAGUCUUGAUUAAUCCUAAAUGCAAAUUACUGUAUGUAAUGCACGAAUAAAAAAAUUUGAUGUUGGACCUUAAGUUUCAAAGGUCUGAUGCCCCAAUACGCCUUGUUAAUGCAAGGAAUAAUGCAAAAGGAAUUAAAAUAUCCUAAGGUUCACGUGACAUCUUGUAGGGGUGAGCAUUGGUUCAAGGUCAACCCUGGACCGACCUUGGACCGGCCCAACCCUGCCGGUCCUGAUCCGGUUCCUAGGGAGACUAGGUCGGUCCUUGAUCCUAGAAUUUUUAGACCAACACUAUGCGGGUCAGUCCUUGGUCCUGAGAGUUCUAGGUCGGUCUAACCUGGACCAACCCUAACUAUAUAUAUAAUAUUAUUUAUAAUUUUUUAUAUAUAAAAAACCUUAAAAUAAAUAGUGUUAACAACAUUAAAUAGCUAUUUAGUGAGGAAUUCAAGUAAUUUUAUAUUAUUCUUUAAUAACUUAGAUUUUAGAUGUCCUUUACAAUGUCAAUAGUCAUAAUUUACGAAGAAUGAAAAUGUUUUUGUGAGGAGUCAUCUCAGCGUCCAAAAAGGCAUAAACAGCUCAUUAUAGCAUCUUUUCUAAUAUUCAUUAUCUUUUGUCUUAUUUGUCCUCUUAGUCUUUAAUUUGCCAAAAUUGAAAGAAAUAACUUCUCCGCUCGCUACUCAACACUCGCCUCGCUCACUUUGGGUCAUUCGUGCCGCUCGAUGCUCGCUUGGCUUGUUACUCCUCGCUCAACAUUCAAUGCUCAUUCUGUUCGAUGCUCACUCCACCUAACCCUCACCGCUUGCCUUUCUUAGCUGACCUCGCUCGUCAUCGAAUCCAUUGGCUCGGUACAGUUCUUGGUUGCCCUUUCAAGAAGUACAAAAAAUGAAAUAAAAAAUUAUUGGUUAGUCUUGGGUUGAUCUAGAAACUGGACCGAACCCAUUGGGUCAAUUCGGUCCUCAAUAAAUUUUAUAAGGAGUACAAAAAAUGAAAUAAAAUUUAUCAGUUGGUUCCGGGUUGACCCUGGAACUGGACCAAACCCAUUGGGUCGGUCUGGUCCUCGGUCCUAAGCUCAAUAGGGUCAGUUCUCAGUCUCAAAAAUUGAGGACCAUUACUGUCUGGUUAGUCCUAGGGUUAAGGGGUGGGCCGACCCAACCCGGACCAUACUCACCCUUAACAUCUUGGAUUAUUACGUUAACUUUGGAGUUCUGAAGCAAAGCAUUGGCACUAUAUCUAGAGGCGCCUCUGUGAGUUAAUUCAAGUUUUCACAUAUUUAUAUAAGAAUUGAUCUCUCCCUAUUCGAUGCAUAAUUUGGUUCAUUUCUACCCCAUUCACCAUUCUAAAAGCCUACUAGGAGUAACUCCUUAUCCACGCUCUCUAGCCCCGGCGACCACUCCUCCCGCUAGUCAGACUAGGUCAUUAUAGACCCACUAGCUUCCUCGUGGUUCGUUUUGAAUCACCCACUUACUAGAGAGGGUCCCUCUUUGAUACGAUGUUGUGACAUCCUCAAUUAACUCACCUGAUAUUUUGUCCACUUCAACUCUUCCUAUACCAAACCUCAUGGUUUUGUCCUUUUGUGCACAAGUGGGUAAUUUCCUAGAAAGUCACUCAUCCCGGUAGUGUUCCCACCCAAGCACACUUAAUUUCGAAGUUUCAAAGCAAAGCCUUACCAUUCCGUCAAAUUGACGUUUCAAUGAUAUAAUUCCAAUUUUCACAUAUACAUCUAUAAAUCAUUCUCUCCUUUUUCAGCGCGCAAUUUGGUUUAUUCUUGCCCCCUCAACAUUUUAAAAGCUUUCUAGGAGCCGCUCAUUGUCGAGACCUUCUAGUCUCAACGACUUUUCCCCCCUCUCUUUAAGCCGGAUUGUUACAAUUCAAUAACUAUAGGUUAGACAAUCAAAUCAUGGCCUAAAAUAAAAUCCAACCUAUUAUUUAUGCAAUUACUAAACUAACCUUAAUCAGGACUAACCUAGGGAACCAAGAGACUUAUGGCACAACACAAGGUGCAAAGGAAAGAGCCACCAGUAGGGAUUUUAAAGACCGGCAAUGGACGACGGUCUGCGGUGCCUGGGCAGUGACGUGAGGAGCUAUUGGACGUCUCCAAGAGGGUACAGGGCUGUUAGAGGAUUUAGACGCCAAAGGUUCCAGCGGUGCUUGGGCUAAUGCGGCCAGCAGGCAAAGCUCUAGAGGGAUCCAAAAGACGCCUAGAUGCUGCUGGAGGGGUAUCGUCGGAAUGCCAAGAGAAGGAGGAGCACCGGUGUCAUAAAGAAUUUUCAGUGAAGAAUUUUCUUUCUUGCCUUUAUUUCUUUUUAAUCAUUUAGUUUCGGACUCUUAGGCAAACUUUAAAAAUAAAUAAAUAAAAAGAACAUAAAGUGUCAUAAAGAUGACUCGAAAUUUCACUAUGCAAAUUUUUUAUUAAUAAUAUGGCUUCCUGAAACUUUUGACUCCAAUACUCUUCAAAGAAGUGCGCAAACCGCCCUAUUUAGAUAUCCAUGUCCACCAUAAAAAGCUAACGUGCCUCCUAACUUGCAGAAAAAAAUUACAGAGUUAUUUCACACGAGAGCUAUAAAAAUACCAUAUGUCCUUAUAUAUCAAGACCUUCCUUACACAACCACUCUUUAAAGACAUGAGUUAAUCGUUUGAAAUGAACCUAAUGCUUUACUAUUGAAGAAGUAGUUUGAGCAUUCUGUAUCACAGAUUUCUUCUACAUCAUCUAAUAAGUUGCUAGAGUUGCUAGUUUCCUUGGCAUCCAAUUAUGGUCGAGAGCUAACUAGAACAUGAGCUUUUCAAUUGGUAACUUAUGGUAUGUUUAUAUUGGUUUACUAUUUUUUUUUUAAAUCAAUACUAUGUCUUGAUUAUGUGUGAAUAUAUUCUUUUACAGUAACUCUUCUUAGUAGGCCAUAAGAUGGGUUACGUGGUACUAUAGUUAGAAUCACCUUUUUCACCCUUGACAUAUGAAGCUCCAAUCUUAAUUGUAGAUUUUCUUCUAGGUGACUUUUUUUUUUCCCUAAGGGAUCUCUAUAUUCAUCACAUAAAAUUAGACAUAAAUGAGGAGGCAUUGUGGUCCAAGAACAAUAAUGCCAUUUCCACCUAUGCAAGCCACAAAGGUAGUCGGCACUAUUUCUCUCUACCCCAAUUUCCACUAAGGCUGAUCUUUCCAUAAUAGGUAGGUUUCAAAUCUUGAACCUACCAUGUUAAGUCCGAUUUUUAGUUUUGGAAUUUGGGACCUACCUUGUAAACUAUGAAUCCUAGCGUGUCUGUCGGGUCUAAUUCUAGCGUAUUUUGGGAAAUCGGCCAGGUACUUUUUUUCCCUUUAUUUUUUAUCAUAAACUAUUUUAAAAUAUUUAUGUUCCAAUUUUACUUUAUACUUUAAAAUAAAAAUUGUGUUAUAUUCUCUAUUCAAGAGAGAGGGAGAAUGAGAAGGGAGCUUGUAAUAUGAGAAAUAAGAAAGUAGUAAGGUUUGAGUUUCUAAAUUAGAUUCUAAACCGCCAGUUGUAGAGUAAGUGAGUGGAACCUACUUGCACAAUACCGAUUCCAAAUUUUUGGAAUCAAUGGAACUAGACUAGAAUUGGCCAGCUCAGGCUAGUUCAAUCUAAUUCUACGAUAGACCUGGAAUUAAUAUUUAUCCCUAAUUGCCACACAUGGAUGGAUUGUCAAAGGUUACCAUCAAUUUGUAGUUGUGCAUGCUUAUCGUGGACUGCGACGUGGCACGUGCAACUAUAAUACGAAGUCACAAGAAGUCUACAAAGUGCCACUAGUUAAGUAGUAUGUACCAACCCAAUUUUUAUUCGCCCGGUUAUAACUCAAUAUAGGUUGUCUUUACAAUUUCUUUUUCGUUGUCGGUGCAAGUUGAAGGUCACCACCGUCCUAACUGAUAUCGGCAAUGACGUCAGAUUAGAAAUUAAUUUAGUCGCAUCAUAAUGCCACAUAUACUCAAUUCAAGUUCUUUAAACUUAGAUCUCGAAAAAAUCAAUGAUUGCACUUUAUUUAUUUCUCACCCCCAUGUGGGGUUCUUUUUUAAUCCAUUGCGCUGAUUUUUUUUUUUUUUUUGGAAAUGAAGAAAUGGGUCUUGCUAACUUCGAAAUAGAAAAACCUAUGAUUGUUCGUCUAUAAUACUGGCUUUGCAACGUGCGUAGGUGUUUUAGGAUUCUGUUGUGUCAUGUGAUGUGUUUACUGAUAACAUGGGCACAUUAGUUAUAUAAUAUGAUAUUCACCGUCACGUUUUCAAACUAGCUAGUGAAUCCUAGUGAAGAACUUUUGUUGCGUAAAUACCACGUUGAUGUGACAUUGAUAAAAAUUUCACUUUCAUAACAAUUACAUUUGUUGAGAGUUGUGCAUUACAUGCAUCAACGUGAAGUCAUGACUUUUCUCAAAUUCAUAGUGAUUGGAAAAAUAAUUUACAUGGACACUUUUGAAUAGGCAUGAUAUACGACAAUUUCACACACAAAAAGAUUGGUAAGUGUAAGCAUAAAGCGACGCUCUUCAUGAAAAUUUGUCCACUCAAAUAUGGAUUCGCACAUUGCAAAAUUGGACUAGACAUUCGAUUAGAGAGUAAUAUGGCAAGUGGGGCCCAGUACAGCACCUCACUUUCUUUUUCAGCGUGCCGUCUCAUAUACCCUGUCCGAUUUAUUCAAUCUCAAUGGUCGGAAAGCCCAAGUGGGGCCCUAUCAAAGUCAUGGUCGACCUAAGAAAUUUACUGAAAGAAAAAUCCAAAUACCGAGUGACGUGCUCGCUGACGACGACAAUAAUCUCAAAACCCCUAUAAAUUGAGACGAUCCCUUCACUCCAGUCCCACACCAUCGGCUCUCUCUCACACAUCCUCUUCUCUGAAACUAGUGACACAAUGUCUUCCAGGUACUUGCUAGUUUUUUUCCUGGGAGCGGUGCUUUUCGCCGCUGCCGUCCUCUCCGACGGCCACCACCCUUUCAAAAAAGAGCAUAAACCACACCACAAACACCACCACAAGCACCACCCUGGUGGUCGCGGUCUCUUGGAGACCGUUGAAGCCGAGGACUCGCACAAGCCGUACCCUAAACACAAGCCCCCACACCACAGCCACCCUCAUGAGCACAUUCUUGUCGAGGAGGUGGAAAAUGAAGACUCCCACAAAAAGCCAUUCCCCGGCAAGAAACCGCCCCACCACCCCGGUCACUUGCUUGCAGAGGAAGUGGAAACCGAUAAAAAAAAGAAGCCAUUCCCCGAGCACAAAUCCCCAAAGAAAGGUGACAAGCCACCACCGAAGCACAAGCCGCCCCACGAGGGACACAUUCUCGUAGAGGAGGUGGAAGAGGACUCGAAGAAGCCAUUCCCUGAGCACAAGCCCCCCAAGAAAGGUGAGGAGCCCAAGAAGGGAAAGGGAGAGAAGCCGCCACCAAAGCACAAGCCACCACACGAGGGACACAUUCUCGUAGAGGAGGUGGAAGAGGACUCGAAGAAGCCAUUCCCUGAGCACAAGCCCCCCAAGAAAGGUGAGGAGCCCAAGAAGGGAAAGGGAGAGAAGCCGCCACCAAAGCACAAGCCACCACACGAGGGACACAUUCUCGUAGAGGAGGUGGAAGAGGACUCUAAGAAGCCAUUCCCUGAGCACAAGCCGCCAAAGAAAGGCGAGGAGCCAAAGAAGGGAAAGGGAGAGAAGCCGCCCCCAAAGCACAAGCCACACCACAAGGGACACAUUCUCGUAGAGGAGGUGGAAGAGGACUCAAAGAAGCCAUUUCCUGAGCACAAGCAGCCCAAGAAAGGUGAGGAGCUGAAGAAGGGCAAGGGAGAGAAGCCGCCCCACCACAAGCCACCGCACAAGCCCCCCACCGAGAACUGAGCGUGCGUUCUUCAAUGAACAUAUAUGCCGUGUGCUUAUCACACGUUCAAAUAAGAGCUGUUCCUUAGAGUUCUGGUUCUUCCGCGUUAUCUGGUUGGCUCUUUGUGUUACAUGUAAUAUAGGAUGUUUGUACUUUGCUCGGGCAUUUCCUUUGACGUUCUUGAUAUUGCUAGUAUGAGUACCUAGAGGGGGGUGAAUAGGUGCCUAAACAAUUUAUCGAUAUACGGAAGCGAUUCUUAGCAUUUAAUAGAAAGUAAAUUCUCUCUUAAUUAACAAAAUGAAAUACGAUUGAGGUAGAGAGAGUAAGGAAGAGAAAAUUGAACACAGGAUUUAUAGUGGUUCGGCUUAUUCCAAGCCUACGUCCACUCUUCCGCACUGACAGCCCACCGGCUGGAUUUCACUAUGAUCAAAAGAGAAGUUACAGCACAGCUUUGCCUUGAUUCCACAGUGUAGAUGUUCUACCACACCUCCUCAAGGUCUCUCACAAAUAUAGACUCUCUCUUUCGUAUAUAAGUAUUUGCUCAAAGGAUUUGUCUAAACAAAAAAGAGCUUCAGACUUUGGAAUUCUUCUUUCGCGCACACCUUGAACAGCUAAGACAAUCUUCCUUAUAUACUCCUUUAUGCCAUCAUACCCGUUGGCACUUACCAAAGGAAUUCCUCCAAUCUACCCGUUGGACGGAAUCAAUUAGGAAGAUUGUCCAAGCUAUAAAUGGAACGUGUUGAUAGCCCAUCAAUCCUGUUCGCCCAUACAAUCAGGAUCUCGGUUUCCAUAAGCAGAACCUUCCAAUAAUAUUUAGGCAAUCACUGGAUCUUCAAUUUAUCGAAUCAAUCUUCGAUCAAUCGAAGGACUCCGUUUAUGUCUUCUCCAGCCAUGAGAUCUUCUCCAGUUGAUAAGGUUAAAUUCUCAACAAAACAUCCAGUUCUGGAUAACCUUUCUUCAACGGAUUAGAGACUGUCAAUGAAGAUAGACUUUGAGUCUUGAGUCUGGCUGUCCCAAGGUCUUCAAACUUUAAAUAGCAGAGUCUGCAAGCCUUCAGACUAGACUGAUAGAAACGAUUUGUCAACUUCAAAACACUUCAAGAAGAUUUCUCCAACAAUCUCCCCCUUUUUUAUGGUGACAAAACUAUCCUGCAGAUUUGGAUAUCUUUGACCUGCAAAACAUUUCUCAAACACAUAUGCAUAUCUUAUAGAGGUAAAUGUCUUAACAGAAUAACACUAGAAUCUGCAACCACAGAAAAUAGGUUAGUCCAGUAUAUGAUGAAGCCAUCCAUAAGAUAUCAAUAUUAGUUUAAUAGAAGCAGACAAGUCCAAGUCUAGUUCAGUUCUCAUCCAGACACAAACCAAAGUCAAACAGAUUCAAACCACAAAACAAUCCAACAAAAACAAUUAAAAGUUGAAUGAAAGGUUUUUUGAUCAAAUCUUGCAUCUCUCCCCCUUUUUGUCAUCAUUAAAAAGGAUGAGAUGAAGUUAAGAUUACUUGGGAACGCGGACAAGCUGGAAAUCUUCCAUAGACUGAACGAUGCCUUCCAGCCUUUUAAAGUCUUCCUUUAGCUGUGCAACCUCCUCACUCUUGGCAUUGGCCUGAUUCUGAAUAGAGAGGGCUUGCAUUUUAUCAUUCAAUGAACAGGAAGAAGCUUGACCUUCAUUCUUCAAGCUUUGAACUUCGCAUCCCAAGGCAUAAAUCUGACCUCGCAUCUCCAAAAGAAUAUCCAUGAUUCUGCGAAAAUUUGCUCCAUUAUCAGUUUGAGUACUUGCUUCGGCUCGAUCUGAUGGAGUAAAUGCAGAAGAUGGUAGAUCAGCAUAAUCUUGCAGGUUUGGCGAUGAAACUUCAUGACCUUCUUCUGGAAAUUGAGAUGCAUAAACAUCCUCUGGGUCUGCUGGUGAGCGACUGACUCCUUCACUUGCAUCAGGACAUGAAGACUUCACUCCUUUCUCUUGAUCUCCCCCUGUUUCCAUGCCUACAGGUGGAGAAGAGUGUUCUUCAGGUUCUCCUUCUUCUCUUCUUUCUUCUUCAGGUCUUUCCUCCUCUGUUUCUUUUUCAGCUUCUAUUUCUUCUUCUUCCUUCUCCUCUGCUUCUUUCGUCAUUUGCUCCGAUUCUUUCUGUGGAACAGGACGACUUAAAUUCUUCAAAGCCAAUGCAGAGAUGGUGAUGUCUUCCUCAUCAUCUUCAUCCUCAACAAGGAGAGCUCUUCUUCUCUUGGAUGGAGCAACCAUGGGCUCCUUCCCUUUUCUUUUAGCUGUAGAAGAUAUUUGAUGAGAUUUUGCAGGAGUCUUCUCCUUGAAUUUCUCCAACUCCUUGCUCAGUUCCUUCAAACGCAUUUUGGUCACCAUUUUCAGACCUACCACCAUAUGAUCGCAUGGUCGAACACAAAAGAUUUGUGGAGGUUGAAUAUUCAGAUAUCUGAAUAACUUCGUAACAAGGCUUGGAUAAGGGAGUUGACCUCUGUCCUUCAUCAUUGCUCUAUACAUGUGAAACAUCACAGUGUGAGGGAGAGAAAACCUUUUUCCAAAGAGAAUGGCAUACAUCAACUUGGCCUCUGAACUUGAAACAUCAGUCUUGGAAGUCGAUUUCGGUCGGAUUCAAUUAAUCACAAUCUUGUGAAGCAAGAUGUUGAAUGCACCCAUCCUUAAGUAGGUGAUCUUUUCAUCUGUUCUUCUGUCCUUCACCAGUUCAAGAGUGGCCCGAGCAAUAGAAACUUUGAUUGGCUGAUAUCUUCCUCUUUCGACUUCUAACACAUCUGCUAGCAUAUUCAUAUCCACAACAUAAUCUUGGUCUUUAACGCUGAACGAGAAUCUAUUCGCAUCCAAAAAGCUUAGAUUUGAAUAGAAAUAUGCAGUUAAUUCAACAUAGGCCUCUGUAGAGUCAGAGCAGAACUUUUCAAGUUGAAGAUAACUGAACUUUUCCCUCAAGUUCAUAUUCACAGCAUCCAGAAAAUCAAAAUCUACGCUCCUAGGGUUUAUCACCCCACGCUUCAGCAAUUUAGAGUACAGAUCCUUUUGCUUCUUUGAUCUGAACAAAUCUCCCAUUUUUCCUUGGUUAUCAACCGCAACACCCAUUUUCGGUUGGAAUUGACUGUACAAUUUAUCAUCAUCAUUCCCAUCUACAGGAUUUGGCCCCCAGUCACGAGGAUCACUUGGGAUAUUUGCAAGGGUUUCCUCAGCCACCCCUUUUCGAGCAAUUCCCAAACUUUCCAUUUUUUUUUCAGAAAGAUAUAUUUGUUCCCAUGUCCUUUAUCUUUAAGAAAAUCAUCAAUGUAGUUCAAAGGGGUACGAAUUCCUUUUAGGGCACGAUAUAACUGAUAAAUAUAAGCGGGCUUUUGAACUCUUACAGGGUCUGCAUCCUCGAUGAUUUCUUCAUGUUGUUAUUGAUCAACGCCUUGAGGACUAGAUGGAGGAGAAUGACGCUAUUGAGAAUGUUGUGGGCUCGCUUGCUGAUCUGGAGUCACUUCAUCUUCAGUAAGAUCGAAGUGCGUAGGCCCCUCACUCAUCCGCCGUGGUCCCCUGCUUGCAAUUCUCGAAGACUUUCUUGAAGAUGACAUCUUUCUCAGUUUUUGGAAGAUUCCUUGCUUGACUUUCCCAGGAAAGAUGACAACUUUUUGAGGAUUGAGCGAAGAAGACAAACGGGAAUGGAGGAUCGAUGCUUUCUAGGGUUUUUGAGAGAAAAGUGAAGAGGAAUCGACAUUUCAAGAUCGGUUAAAAGAGGGAUAAACGAACCAUCAUAAAGGAAAUAAAAAUAUGCCUUUUCAAAAUAACUGUCUUUUUCCGCAAAAAUAGCCAUUUCAAAAAUAACUUCCCUUUUGAAAAUGAAACGAUGCAAUAUUUUCGUCAAUUAAAUAUAGCAACAAUUUAAACACAGUCUGACAAUCGUACCUUUCCAAGUUGAGAUUCAAGAGAGAAAGACUUACAGUCUGACGGACGUACCAAGACUGUCUUUCAGAUAAAGUCUUGUAAGUCUGAGUCUGAAAGUCUUUAGACUUUGAUAUCCUCAUACCUCAGAAUGUUGAGUCUCGAGCGUAUAGACUCAAAUUGAUUUUUCUCUAAAGGCUUUGUGAAUAUAUCCGCCAGUUGAUUCUUUGAGUCAACAAAUUGAAUUGAAACAUCUCCAUUUUGAACAUGGUCUCUUAUAAAAUGAUGUCGAAUCUCUAUGUGCUUUGCUUUUGAGUGAAGAAUUGGAUUUUUGGUGAGGUUGAUAGCGCUGGUGUUGUCGCAAUUAAUCUCAGUACAUGAGUCUUCAAUUUCAAAGUCUCUUAGCUGUUGUUUUAUCCAUAGAAUUUGCGAACAACAGCUUCCCAGGGCUACAUACUCUGCUUCUGUUGUUGAAAGAGACACAGUGCUUUGUUUCCUUGAAAACCAAGACACUGUCCUGGUUCCAAGCAACUGGCAAGUUCCCGAAGUACUCUUUCUAUCAACUCUACAACCGGCCAGAUCUGCGUCUGAAUAUCCCAGAAGAUUAAAGUGUCCCUUCUUAGGAUACCAAAGACCGAUGCUUGAUGAUGAAGCAACAUAUUUAAUGAUGCGUUUAGCAGCAUUGAGAUGGGAUUCUCUAGGAUCUGAUUGAAACCUAGCACAGAUGCAAACACUCAACAAGAUGUCAGGUCUAGAAGCAGUAAGAUAAAGGAGUGAACCAAUGAUGCUUCUGUACAGCUUUUGAUCAACUUUCUUCCCUUCUUCAUCUUUGUCUAUCUUCAAAGAACUUAACAUCGGUAUGUCGGUCUUUUUGCAUUUUUCCAGUCCAAAUCUUUUGACAAGAUCAUUAACAUAUUUUUCUUGAUAAAUAAAGGUUCCUUCCUUCAAUUGUUUUACUUGAAGACCAAGAAAGAAUGUUAACUCUCCCAUCAUACUCAUUUCAAAUUCAUCCUGCAUAGACUUAGAAAAUUUCUUGCACAUAUUUUCAUUAGAAGAUCCAAAAAUAAUGUCGUCCACAUAUAUUUGAACAAGUAAGAAACUUUUGUUCUCCUUUUUGAUAAAUAAAGUUAUAUCCACUUUACCUUUGACAAAACCAUUUUGUAUUAAAAACUUACUUAAUCUGUCGUACCAAGCUCGAGGUGCUUGCUUUAAACCAUACAGAGCCUUCUUCAGUCUGAAGACUGAGUCUGGCUUCUUUGGGUCUUCAAACCCUGGUGGUUGUUCCACAUAAACUUCAUCUUGGAUGACUCCAUUUAGGAAGGUGCUUUUGACGUCCAUUUGGAAUAACCUGAAAUUCUUAUAACAAGCAAAUGCAAGUAAUAGUCGAAUAGCUUCUAACCUUGCUACUGGAGCGUAAGUCUCAUCAUAGUCUAUUCCUUCUUCUUGCGUAUAUCCCUUGGCCACGAGUCUUGCUUUGUUUCGUACGACUUUUCCUUUCUCAUUCAUCUUGUUUCUGAACACCCAUUUAGCUCCAAUAACAGUUUUACCUUUUGGUUUGGAUGUCAAUUCCCAGACAUCAUUUAUGCUGAACUGUCUGAGUUCUUCUUGCAUAGCUUCAAUCCAGCUUUCAUCAGACAAAGCUUCUUCUAUGCUUUUUGGUUCAAUUUCAGAAACAAGAGCUACAACACUAGACUCUUCUCGCCUUUUGGAUCUGGUGCGAAUUCCUUCAUUAGUUUCGCCGAUUAUAAGAUCUUUGGGAUGACUGGACUUAUGCUUCCAGUUACUUGUUGAUAUGUCUGUUUGAUGAUCUCUCUCUUUGAUUGAAUCUUCACGAACAUCCUGAUGCUGGUUUUCUAGAGUCUGAGAUGCUUCUUGAGUCGUAAGCUUUGGAAGGUCUGGAGCAGGUUCAGACUCUUCUUGAUGAGUCUGACUUGAUUCAUCUUGUGUUGAGUCUUGAAAUUUGACAUUCAUUGACUCCUCCACAGACUGGCUCUUCUUGUUAUAGACUCUGAAGGCUUUGCUUGAUGUAGAAUAUCCAAGGAAGAUACCUUCAUCUGAUCUUUCUUCAAACUUACCAACUCGAUCUUUUGCAUUUUUCAAUAUAAAACAUUUGCAACCAAAUACAUGAAAGUAUGAAACAAUAGGCUUCUUAUCUUUGAACAAUUCGUAAGGGGUUUUCUCUAGAAUAGGUCUUAAGAAGACUCUAUUGAUGAUAUAACAAGCUGUUGAAACAGCUUUAGCCCAAAAUCGUGAAGAAAUCUUGCUUUCUAUUAAAAGAGUUCUAGCCAUUUCCUGAAGAGAUCUGUUCUUUCUUUCCACAACUCCAUUUUGCUGAGGAGUAUAUGGAGAGGAGAACACAUGAUUAAAGCCAGAUUCACCACAAAAUUUUGUAAAAUCUUGAUUUUCAAAUUCAUCUCCAUGAUCUGUUCUUAUACAAGAGAUAACACAGCCUUUUUCAUUUUGAACCUUUUUAGCAAACUUUUCAAAAUACGAGAAGGUUUCGGACUUACUUGCAAGGAAAUAUACCCAAGUAAAACGGGAGUAAUCGUCCACAAUUACUAGGCAAUAUUUCUUACCUCCACUACUCUGUGUUCUGGUUGGUCCGAAGAGAUCCAUAUGCAGCAACUGUAGUACAUGAUUAGUAGAGACAUGAUUUAUUGGCUUGAAUGAAUUUCUUACCUGCUUUCCCAGAAUACAUGGAGUGCAUGGAUCAGUCUUUUGAUAAGGUAAUUUGGGUAGUCCUCGAACAAGCUGCUUUGAUGAGAUUUUGGCUAAUUGCUUCAUGUUGACAUGCCCAAGCUUUCUGUGCCAUAAGCUUGCUUCGUCUUGAAUUGAGAUAAAACAUUGCGAUUCAUUUGGUUUCACAUCCAGAAGAUAAAUGUUUCCAUGUCUACGACCCAUGAAAGACUGAGUAGAGUCUUUACUGAUUCCAGAACAUAUUCCUUCUUGAAAAAAGAUCUUGAAACCAGUAUCACACAAUUGACUGAUGCUGAGAAGAUUGUAAUUGAGUCCUUCCACUAAGGAAACAUUACUUAUUGUGAGAUUUCCAAUUUUAACAGUUCCAAAUCCCACAAUACUUCCUUUGUUGUUUCCUCCAAAUGAAACUUUUCCACCAUUUACUUGAGCAAGCUUUAUGAAACAUUUUGAGUCUCCUGUCAUGUGUCUUGAGCAUCCACUGUCAAGAUACCACUUUACCUUUCUCUUGACGGUGACCUGCAUUUAAAAAACAGUCUCAAGCUUUCUUUGGUACCCAAACUUUCUUGGGUCCUUUGGUGUUAGUAAACUAAGCAGUAUUAGCCCAUAUUUUCUUAACAGGUUUCCAAACCAUAGGACACUCUUUUUCAAAAUGAUCCGGACUGUUACAUUUUGAACAUUUUAGAGCAUUUCUACCUACAGAUUUAACAAAGACUUUCUUGAAGUGAUUUUUGUAAACCUCACUCGAGAGUCUUUUCUUAAUUCUUUCUUUUACUUUAGGGAAAUCAAUCAGGGGAAUUGUUUCUUCCAUCAUACCUAGACCAGACUUAUUGAAGUAAGGUCUUUGUGCUGAAAGAAUUUUCUCAAGUUUUUUAGACCCUAUUGAAAAUUUCUUUGAUAUAUUUGAUAAGUCUGUUUUUAAAAAGACAUUUUCUUUUGAAAGAUUAUCUCCAUUUUCUUUAAGAUUGGAAAUAGUCAAGUCUAGACUUUUAACUCUUUCUACUAAAACAUUUUCCUUUUGUUUUAGAGCUGAGUUUUCCUUUUUUAGUUCGGAAAUUCUUUUGAGAGAAGUCUUAAGACUAAAACAUAAUUCAUCAAUAUAUUUAGAAACUUUGACAGGAAUUUUAAUAUCACUUGCCUCAAAUUCACUGUCUGAGUCUGAUCCAGAGUCUGAGUCUGAUUGUGCCAUUAGACAUAGAUUGGCAUAUUCAUUAUCACUUUCUUCACACUCUGUGUCACUCCAUGUUUCGGCUUUGAGAGCUUUUCGAAAUCUUUUAGCUUUUCCUUUCUUCUUCUUCAGAAGAGGACAGUUGGGUCUGAUGUGUCCCUUUUUCUUACAUUCAAAGCAGACUAUGUCUUUAUCCCUGUCAAGAAUCAUCCCACAUUGGGACAAAUUUGAAAUGAAUGAUAGGAAUCUUCUUGCUCCCACUUUCAUCAAUCUUCGAAUAUAGCUUUUGCAGUGUAACUCGUACGGAAAUUUAAAGUGCCUUAAGAUGACAAAGAGCAGUUAUUUUUUUAUCCUACACACUUUCAUCCAUUGCAUAGCCCACUUGAGCCUGCAAUUUCAUUUAUUUAAACUUAGUUGGUGAUCAUCCUCCACACUAGGGCAAAGCAAAAGGCAAAUGAAGACUGUGGCGACCUUCUCGAAUUUUUUGAAGGUGAAUUAUUCGAAAAGGCUAAUGGAUUACUAAGUCCGAAGACUUGGCACGGACCCUCCCAAGUCCUACCAAUCGCAACUUGAUAGAAAUUAACUUAUUUAAACAUGCAAUUAUAUUUAAUUUGGAGCUGCCACUAACCAAUUAGAGUUGGUUAGAAACCCAAGUAAAGUCCGGUGACAUGGUUACGCUAGAUUAGUCUAACGCCCUUUCGGUACUUUUUUAUUUUAAUUUUAAAAAUAUUUUGCAGGCAAUGUUGAUUAAUUUAAACUUAAGCUACUAACAUACAAAUGGUGGUCAUGCGAGUGCACAAUCAAUAAAAUAACAUUCAAUAAAAAAUGCUAAUAAAAUUGCAUGCCCUAAACAUGAUUUCUAAAUGACAAGACACCUAUUUUUUCUUUUUCUUUUAAAAAUGUUAAUUAUAUGCAAUCUUAAUUUAACUUAAUAUGCAUGAAUUUAUUUUAAUGACAUGCUGGUAUGACUUAAACUUAUCACUAUAUAUAUGCAAUCUAAUUUAUAUAAUCCUAAAUAUGCAUGUGCUACGUGAUAUGGGAUGAAUGACGUGGUAUUUCUACUUGCAUGCUCUUUUAUGAUUUUUUUUAUGAUGAUUCAUUUUUUAAUGCAUAUAUGCAACCUAUGCUAAAUAAUGAUGAUAUGAGAUUAAUUAUGAAUUAACCUAUUAACUAACCAAGGAAAUGAUCUUUUCUUAUUUUAUUUUUUAAUGACAUAAUGUUUUUUUAUUGAAAAGAAAGUAACUUAAUGGUGCAAUGAUCAUCUUUUAGCAUUUUCCUUUUUAUUUAAAAAAACAAUUAAACUAUUACUCAUAUGGCAUGCAUAACAUUUUUUUUGUUCCACUUUUUUUGUUUACUAAAUGAAAAUUGGCUUAACCUAAAAAUAUCUAGGUGUGCUACUUUAAUGCGAAAUGUAUAUGGACCUAAGUACCUAAGUUCUAGAUAUGACAAUAUUUUACUAAUAAACAAAUUCUAAUUAAAUAAACUUAACAUGCAAACUUAAUUUUGGUUUUCAUUUUAUUUAAUGAGAAUCAUGCAAUGCAUGCUACUAAUUUUAACAUGAAAUGAUAUGACGUGGCAAUAUGAUCUAACAUAUAUAACAUGAAUAAGCAUGGAAUCUAUCCUAAAGCAUGAAAUGAAUUUAUUCUAAUUUUUUUUUUUGUAUUUUCCAUGAAAUUCAAAAUUAAAGAAAAGCAACAAUUAAUAUGCAAUCUAAAUUAAUUAAAUGAUCUAAUUCUAAUGACGAGCAAUUUCUAACUAAAUGAACUUAGCAAUAAUUACUAAAUGAUGAAAAUUUCAUAAACAUAAUCCUACACGUCUGAUUUAUUAAACCUACAUGCUUUGAUGCAAGAUUUUGAUUUUUGAUUUUUUGAUUUUUUUUUAGUGUUUUAGUGUUUUUCCAAGACAAGUAAUUAUCGACUAAACAUUAAAUCUAAACAAUCAAGAUAUUCAAUAAAUAAAUGAUUAAAAUAACCGAAAAAAUAACCCAUUGUCUCACAGGUCAAAUUAACGAUUAUUCUAAACCUAAUUAUCACGACAAAGAGAUCAAAAUAAUUAAAAAUAUGAUCCGAAGUCUUACGGAUCAAAUUAAUAAUUAUAAUGAUUUAACAAUUAAAAUUUUACCAAAAAGCCCAAAAAUUAAUAUAAUUAAAAAAAAUGAUCCGAUGUCUCUCGGAUCAAAUUAAUCAUUACCAAACUCUUGGACAAAGCCUUAAGGAUAAUGUCUAAACAAUACAAAUAAUUACAUUAAUAUACCAUGUUUUAACUUAAAUAAUAAUAACAAAACUUAAAAUAUAAACAAAUAAAUGAAUAAAAAAUAAAUAAACCACCUAAGGCUCAAAAGAGGACAGUGGCGUCGACAGGGAAGCGAAUCGCAAGCGGAGGCGGUGCGGUGGCACGGCGAGGUCAGGAGUGGCUGGCUUUGGAGCUCCGGCGAGGGCUGGGCAGCAACAGGUCACGGUAGCGUCUGGCUUCGACCGGCGGUGCUACAAAAUCAACAGACGCGGCAUCGGAUUUGGGUGCUUGUGGCAUCGGUGUUGUUGGGUGGAGGUGCAGGCACAGCUUUGCGGAUGGCAACCGGCAGGCGCUCGGGCAGAGGAAGACUCAAGCGUCGGGCGGUGUAGAGAUGGUGGCGCAGCGAGGUCAGGAGCGGUAGGCUUUGGAGCUUCGGCGUCGCGCUAGGCAACAGCAGGUCGCGAUGGCCGGCGCGGGUUCUCGGGCUGCUACAGCGUCGCGGGGGAUCGUCGGGUGGUGUGUGCGAGUUGCUGCGGGUUGCAGGUUGCUGCACGGCGAGGCUUGCGGGUGCUAGUGCGCAGAGGCACAGCGAUGACCGGCUAAAUCGUGAACCGGCGAGUUGUAGGCAAAGCGGAGGGAGCUGCUGCAGGCGUCAGUGGCAAGGCUGGAAGUCGAGGGGCUGACCGAAGCGUGAGGACUAGUGACUCGCGGGUUGCUGGCGCGGUGGCCGGCGCGGGUUCUCAGGUUAAUGCAGCUUCGCCGGACGGAUAGAGGGCCGAAUGGCAACGGACAGGGCGAAUCAAUUUGGUUUGCAGCAUCAGGUCACCGGUCGGAGGUUGCAGUGGUCAGAUCUAGCUGUAGGAGCGGAGCUCAAGUGUUGGGCUCAUGGUGGCGAGGUGACCAGCUCGAGCUUGGUCGCGGGUUUGUGCGGUUACAUAUAUGUUCGGGUCUAGCUCCAGAUGGAGGGGACCGCUAGGCGUCGUACCAAAGGCGGCGCGGCAGUGGCUUCAAGUGACGGUAGCAGUGCGGAGCCAACAGCGAGCGAACGGGGCGCGGGUAGACGGAAGUAGGGGUGACAAGACCCGAACUGAAAACCGAACCGAACCGCGAACCGAACCGAACCGAACUGAAAAUUUUGAUUUUUUCGGUUUGGUUCGGUCUUCGGUUUGGAUUUCAUCAAAAAUCGAAAAAAAUUUAUCGGUUUGGAUUUCAUCAAAAACCGAAAAAAAAUUAUCGGUUUGGAUUUCAUCAAAAACUGAAAAAAAAAAUUUAUCGGUUCGGCUUUUAUCGGUUCGGUUAACCGAAAACCGAACCACAAAGGCACAAACCGAUAAGAUGAAAUCUAAUUCGAUUCUCUCCCGACUCCCGUCUCUCAGUCCUCUCGUGUCUCUUGGUUUUUAUCGGUUUCGGUCUGAGUUCUCUCAACGGCGACGGCGACUGCAACGACGAUGGCGAUAGGGACGGCGACUGCGACGGCGACGGUGAUGGCGACCGAUUGAGGGACAAAGCCCCUUUUUUCUGCAAGUCUCUCCUUCGUCCCUCUUCCUUCUGUGACGAUGACGGCGACAAAGCAUGUCCUGCGCGCGCUCUUCUCUGGACUGAGGGGCCACCGUCUUCACUUUGCCGGCUAUACACCUCCAGUUCGCAACUCAUCCUCUUGUCCGACGCUUCCAUCUCUUCGAUUCACCUCACCGACUUGGCAAUCUCGGCGUUCUUGGAGCAGAUCAGGCCCUCCAGCAUCAGGACGAGGAACGCUGUCUCUGGGACAACCUCAUGCUCGAGGAGCUCGGUCUUGACGUACAACGGCGGCUUCGGCAAUUUCUGGAAGCCCAUCGCCAUCUUCACUUUGCCAGCUAUCAUCGGAGGGAGAUUCUGGAGCUUAGGUUUUCGGACGACGGUUAUAAUUACUUGGGGUAUUUAAGGGAGAUUAGGAAUGCAGGCAGGGGUUCCGCUUUCUAUCAUAAUCCUAAGGCUAGGCUUGAUCUGGUCCCGGAAGAUGUCAAGGUGGGUCUCUUGAAUUCGUGGUUUUCUCUCUUAAUGUCUGCAAAUCUUAGUGUUCUGCUUUCUAUCAGAAUCUGAGGUUGGGAUUACAGGGUAUGGAAGAAAGGGGUGAGUUUGCGUUUGAGGUUAGUGUAAAUGUGCAGCAUUUGAGAUGUGAGUGUUGCUGCUGCAUUAGACUCAGGUUAAUCUGAGGUUGGGAUUACAGAGUGUGAAGAAAGAAGUGAAUUUUUGUUUGAGGUUAGUGUAAAGGUGCAGCAUUUGAAGUGUGAGUGUUCUGCUGGAUUAGAUUCAGUUUAAUCUGAGGCCACUUCUAAUCCUCUCUCCACCCUCUCCCUCUAUCUGUCUCUCUCUCAUGGGUAGUUCGAAACAGAAUUAUAAGCUAAUAGCCACAGAGCAUGAUUUAAUUGAUUCUAAAUGGAGCACUAGUAGCUAAUGGCCUCUCAACUAGUCAACUGUAUUGCAAGUUAGCCAGAGGUCCCUACUUAUUCUGUAAUUUAGAGAUCAUGGGUGUUUUUAUAUCCUUUUGAGAUCCUUUUACGUGUUCAAUCUAUUAGGUGCUCUGUGGUGUUUGAGCAAUGCAUUGCUGGGUGAGAGGCAAUGUCCAUCAAGAUGUUUCGAUGUCCAAAUUGGGUUAAAACCGUAAUGAUUCGAUUGAACUUGAGAAUCUAGUCUGGGGUUUGAGCAAUUUUGAUUUUAUUCUGUUCCUAUGGUGAUGUACCCCUUUCUUCACCUUUGAGGUGGAACUACUUAUUUCCCUCUCUUCUUAGAUAUGUUGAGCUUAAAACAGUCUUGCAUGUUCAUAGAGAGUGACUUUCUUUCUUUUCAAGCAAUGAUGCAAAUAGAAAACACAGAAGCGAAAGUAUAUAUUGUGACAUUAGAUUCCUAAGUUGAGAUCACUAAUUUUAUUUCAAUUGUUUUGGUCAGGGUAUACAAAAGAAAGGAGUAGCAUUGUGGUUAUUGGGCUUAGCGUGCACACAACUCCUGUGGAGAUGCGUGAGAAACUUGCCAUUCCUGAGGCAGAAUGGCCUUGAGCCAUUGGAGAACUCUGUAGUUUGAAUCAUAUAGAAGAAGCAGUUGUCCUUAGCACCUGCAACAUAAUGGAGAUAUAUGUUGUCGCUUUGUCUCAACAUCGUGGGGUUAAAGAAGUGACUGAAUGGAUGUCUAAUGUGAUUUACUUUUGCUCCUUGCCAUGACAAUAAUUUGGAUUCUUGCAAUAAUUAAUUGCCCUAUGAUAUUUGUUUUAUGGAUGAAAAGCACUAGUUUCCUUUGAGUUCUUGUUAAUCCGGGAUUCUUUUCUUUUUUUUCCUCUUCUUCUCUGGUGAACAGAAUCCCUAUUUCAGAGCUUUGUCAACACCGGUUUUUGUUGUACAAUGGGGAUGCUACACAUCAUCUUUUUGAAGUCUCAGCAGGUCUUGAUUCUCUUGUCCUUGGAGAAGGACAAUUUCCUAGACUAAAUGGGUAUACUUGCUAAGUGAAAUGUGAUGUGAAGCAUAAAGACUAUAGUAGAACAUUCAUAUGAGAAGAUAAGUUGUUAGCAUACUUUAUCACGAUUUCAUAUGCUUAUGGCUGUAUUUACGAAUCACUAGUGUAAAAAAAAACACUUAAAAUCGCUACACUGCAUGUAGGACCAAAUAUUCCUUCUGGGAACAAAUUAAGAUUGGAAAAGCAAAAAGCAGGGCAGUUUUUGAUCCAUACGAGUUGCUCUUGAAACCCAGAAAGUCAAAAGUGAAGCUUUCGCUUCCUUUUGAAACCCAACUAGAUUGGAAGCAAUGCAAAACUCGAGCCAUUUCCAGGCUCAACUGGGACAAGCCCACAAAAGAAACCACGUCUCGGGACGCCAUCCUCCUUCCAAAGAAUUCUCAUGCAACAUUCCAAGCUCCUGUCCUCGCCGUCGCUUCUUAUCCUCCUUGGUUUCUUCUUGCUUGACUUCUCUUCGAAGUGAAGUCAUCUCGCUUCUCAUGAUGUGAUAAUUUCAGGAGAGUGAAAGGGCUAUAACAAGGGAAGAAGGAAGAGAUCUAGCUCAAAGAUAUAGAUGUUCGUUUCUUGAAUAUAGCGCAAAAACUAGAGAGAACGUCAAUGAAUGCUUCAAGGAGCUUAUACAGAAGGUAAGCUGUCCCGACAAAAAAAAAAAAAACCGAAAACCGCAAACCAAAAGUUGAAAACCGAAAAACCGAACCGAACCGAAAGUUCGUUAUCGGUUCUGGACUUAUUCGGUUCGGUUCGGUUUUCCAAAAAACUGAACCGAACCGAACCGUUUACACCCCUAGACGGAAGCAAACCUCCGGAGAAGAACAGUGUUCUUUUUCUUUUUCCUCUUGUUUUCUCACGUCAUCUCCUGUUCUACUUUUUCACUUUUCACCUUUUUGACUUCUUUUUUUCUCUCUCCCCCUCUCUCACGUCACUCACCCCCUACUCCCUGUGUACUUUCUGCAGGAGACUUUCUUCUCUUCUCUUUCUGCAAGAAAUCAAACUCUUAAUAUAGUGAGUCAUAUCUCCAACAAGGCGAUACUAAAAGACUCAAAUGCUAUUUCAAUCAAUGAAGUUGUGAUAUGAAAAUCUUCAACAGUGGACAAGGAAAGUAGUGGAAAUGUCAAGAUGAUCACCAACUUUGACUCCCCUAAACACUUUUUGAGCUUAAUGAUCCUUUCAUUUCUCAACCCAUGAGCCAAGCCUAUGUUACGUCCCUUGCAAAGUCUCUUCAGAUUAUGGCACUUGAAAUAACCUAGGGGUUCACAUGUUUUAAGCAUAGCUCGAAGAAGUGCGAGUAAAAUUAUUUCUUUCUCAUUAUGCAAGGUUCUUGACUUGUAAACCUGGAAAUGAUUGCGAAGCUGUUCUUUCAAUAGCCUUGACUCAAAGAGUCCCUUUGUUAAGCCGUUGACCAAGCUCACAAUAUGGUCCUUGUUAAAGAUCUCUCGGAUUGGUAAAGUAGUACCGCUUGCGAGAAUACUCAGACCCCUAUCGAUAUGGUGAGAUGGAGUGAUUCUCUUUUAAAUGAGAGUGAGAGAAAGUCCUUUCAAAUCGAAAGUUUCUCAUUUGACAUUUUCAAGAUGUCUUCAUUACAAGAGUAGAUUGUCUUGGUUAUAACUCUCCACAUGAGAUUCUGGUAAUAAUAGAAACAAGUGAUGAAUGCAUCUACUUGUUAUUACUGACCAUGUUUGAUAGGCAAAUUUCUCAUGAAAGUCAAGCAGCAAUUGGCCCUGAAGCAUUGGGAUUCGUCCAAACUAUUUGGUAACCCAAUCAAUCAAGCCUCCAAGAAAGGAGCCCCAGGUAAGUACCAAAUCUUUCAAAGUACUCAAGGUAAGACUCGGGUAACUCGUCUUCCAAUUUGGAUCUACAUGCAUAAAGAAAAAAGAAUUUGAGCAUCUUCUCCAAUCUACAGAAAUUGAGAGUCUAUGAAUGUCACCAAAAUCUUUCAACCCGAUCUUGACAUCUCAGUCUGAAUUUGGAUGUCUUAAUUCUUUUCAGUGAACAUUUCACUUUGAAUGUGAAUGUUUUUCGAUUUUUCUUGUUAUACCUUAGUUUGGAUCUAGGUAUUUCAAGUUCUAAAAUCUUGACAUCUUAGUUUGGACCUGGAUGUCCUAUUCGUUGAACAUUUCAUUCUGGAUGUUAAUGUUUUUCGAUUUUUCUUGUUAUACCUUAGUUUGGAUUUAGGUAUUUCAAGUUCUAAAAUCUUGACAUCUUAGUUUGGACCUGGAUGUCCUAUUCGUUGAACAUUUCACUCUGAAUGUGAAUUUUUUUCGAUCUUUCUUGUUAUACCUCAGUUUUGAUAUAGUAUUUCAAGUCCCAAAAUCUUGACAUCUCAGUCUGGAUCUGGAUGUCUAAACUAUUUUCAUCGAAACAUUUCACUCUUGAUGUGAAUGUUUUCCAAUCUUUUUCGUUAUGCCUUAGUUUGGAUCUAGGUAUUUUGAAUUCUAAAAUUUCGACAUCUCAGUUUGGACCUGGAUGUCCUAUUUGUUGAACAUUUCACUCUGGAUAUGAAUGUUUUUCGAUCUUUUUUGAUAUACCUAAAUUUGGAUCUAGGUAUCUCAAGUCAUAAAAUCUUGACAUCUCAGUCUGGAUCUAGAUGUCUUAAUUCUUUUUGUUGAAUAUUUCACUUUGGAUGUGAAUGUUUUUUAAUCUUGCUCGUUAUAUCUUAGUCUGGACCUAGAUAUUUUCAGUUCCAAAAUCUUGACAUCUCACUCAGGCGACUGUAGAAAGACACGAGUCCUAGAAAGUGUUUCCCUGUUUAGGCAACCGUAGAAUGAUAUGGGUCCUAGACACAACCAAACAUUGUCAUACUGGGCGACCGUAGAAUGGUACAAGUCCUGGGAAAGCAGUCUCUUUGCGAAGCCAUGUUACUAUUCUUGGCGACCGUAGAAUGGUAUGAGUCCUAGACAUGUAACGCCAAUCUAUCUUGAGUUACUCUACCCUCCUCGAAAGUAAGUAAUUCCAGGUAAAGUUCCUUUAUCAUUUGCAUUAGUAUUUUCAUAAAUCACAUAAAUUGCAUUUCAAAAUAGAAUUCAUUUUCCCCCAAAAAAAAAAGAAAACAAAAAGGAAAAAAAAAGAAGGGAAUUCAUUUUCCAACAAAAAGUCAUUUAGUGCAUGUGCAUGAUCAAAAUUUAGGUCCCAACUUGUCUUUAAAGGCAACCUCUACGAGCUCACCUUCAAAGAGGGGCAGAUGUUGACAUCUAAUUUUAGCAAAUCCAGGAAAAUAAGGAAAAUAAAAAUUUCAUUUGAAUAAAUAAAAGGAAAAAAAUGAAAAAAAUGGGAGAAAUUGAUUUGAUUGAUUAUGCAUGGAAACUUGGAAUUCCAAUGAAUAUUCGGAUUUUGUCAAAUGUAGAAGCAAUUUGAAAAUCAAGUGAAUAAAUGGCAAGAAUUUUUACCAAAUAGAAGAAAUCAGAGCAAAAUCGAAUUGAUUGCGAAACCACACUCUGAUUUACGGUCUUAAUUUAAUGCAACAGAAGAUGGAAACUCGAAAGUUGCUAUAAAAAUGGCCAUCUAGAGAUCAUUAUAAAAAUGAGCCACAAUUUUCGUGACCAAGGGGGACGAAUUCGAAAAAAUCGGAGAGAAAUUCUUGCUCGGUCGAAUUUAAACACAAAAAGGAGAGCUUGUUUUCUUUCUCCUUUCUUUCGUUUGGGAAGAUGGAAAAGUCAAAAUGAGAGAGUGAAAGAGACGUGAGUGCAGAGGGUGGACAUGCGAAUAGGUAAGAGAGAGAGAAAAUAAAAAAGAGAAAAGUAAAAAACGCCACUGUUCAUCUUCUCCGUGGCCUUCCUUUGCCGUGUGACUGACCCCUGCACCGCUGGUCUCCGAGCUGCACCCCCGGCCUCCACCGCGCCUUGCCAGACUUGCCCUCGACAUGCUGCAACAUCGCCACCGUGCCCGACGCUGUUGUCGCGCCCACGCCUCCGCCUGAAGCCCACUCCGAACGCGCCUCUGCCAAUGCCAGCGCCACGCCACCUCUACCCAUCCGCCGCUGCUGCUGCGUCACUACUCCACGCACCAGCACCCGCAAGCACCGCCGCGUAGCAACCUGCGACCUGUAGCGCCCGCGAGCCCCCUCGCUUCUCAACCCGACGCCGAUGCUUGCACCUCCACCACGCAGCACAGCCGCCGACACCCGCAGUUGCUCCCUUGCCACUCCAUCCGUGCCUCAACCCUCGUUGACACUUGCGCUCCUCGCCACUCCGCUCGCCGUUCACUACUAAUUAACCUGCAGUGCCGGAUGCCAGAAGACUCGUCGCCGGCCACUACCUGACGACCUGCGACCCACGCCAGCAUCUCCGCCUUCGUCGCCUCGCUGCAGCCNNNNNNNNNNNNNNNNNNNNNNNNNNNNNNNNNNNNNNNNNNNNNNNNNNNNNNNNNNNNNNNNNNNNNNNNNNNNNNNNNNNNNNNNNNNNNNNNNNNNUUUGUGUGAUGCAAUUUAUUUAUUUGAAUGUUUAAUAGUGGAUGAGCAUCCGUGUGGUCACCAUAUUUGCAUGAUAGCAAUUUGGUUAAAAUAAAUCCAAGCUGCCUGCAAAAACAUUUUUUAAAAUAAAAAUAAUGGUACCGAAAGAGCAUUAGAGAAAUCUAGUCUAACCAAGUUCUCAUACCCAUAGUCUCUGGUUUGUAGGAGUAAAAUAAUUCUUCAAUUAUUUUAUUUAGGUGUCUAAUCGACUUACCAUAAAUUGAUUAGUGGCGACUCCUAGAUAAAAUCCAUUUGUAUGUUAAAUAUUUGAAUCUUAAGUUGCGAAUUAGUAAGGGCUUGGGAAAGCUCGAGCUAAGUUUAAACACUUAGUAAUCUAUUAACCUAGUUUUAAGUGGUGCACUCAAAAUUUAGGUCACGACACUUGUGUUCACAAUCACGUUUGACAAUUCCCUAUUCAUAGGUAUGCAAAGUGUUGGAUGAUUUUGUUAUUCUUUCAUCUCAAAAGUUAGCUUAAAGAAUGAGACUUUUUCUCAUAUUUAUAAAUCGACUACCAACUUCUACAAUCGAAAUUCAAAUAAUCUCAUUCUCACAUAUCGGGCCUUGACUGGAAGCCGCAAUAAUCCGUAACUCAACCUGGGUUCUAAUAAUGAUAUUAGGUGAUUUUGAGCCUUACUCGUCCCAAAAGUUAACUUAAGGAGUGGAGUUUUUCCUCACAUUUAUAAACCAACUACAAGCCUUUUGCACAAUCAAUAUGGAAGAACCCCCAAUUAAAGGGUGUAAAAAUUAGAUUUUUAGAAGUUCAAUUACUAGUGAAGAAAUUUCAUUGCCCAAGUACCAUAAAAACUAAGCAAAGAGUUAGCGAUGUGUAUAGCGAUGUGUAUGGGACUUGCCUAUUUUAUGCGUUGAGAUGAAUUUGAUUCAAACCCUUAAAAUGAUGCAUGGAUCCGUCUUAUGGUGAAUAAUCAGCAUUGGUUCGCUAUUGAUUGAAGCUACUGAACUUUCAACUUGAACCGAAAUAAUAAGGAAUUUUUUUCAAAUCCACAAUUAUUGGAAAAUGAACCUACGUGAACACUUUUUGGAUUGGCAUAAUAUGUGACAUUUCCACGCAUAAAAAAUCGGUUGAGUUCAAGCAUAAAGCGAAGUUAACAUUUAUCUAAAAGAAGGAUUCGCACAAUGCAAAAUUGGACUAAACGUUGGAUUAAAGAGUGAUAUGGGUAGUAGAAAGCACAAGAGUCCAGAAUAGCACCUCACUUUCUUAUUCAAUGUGCUGUCUCAUAUGCCCCGUCCGACUAAUUCAAUCAGUAGUUGGAAAGCCCAAUUGAGGCCCUAUCAAAAUCAUGGUCGACCUAAGAAAUUUACCCAAAAAAAAAACGAAAUACCGAGUGACGUGCUCGCUGACGACGACAAUAAUCUCAAAACCCUAUAAAUUGAGACGCUCCCUUCACUCCAGUCCCACACCAUCGGCUCUCUCUCACACAUCCUCUUCUCUGACAGUGACACAAUGUCUUCCAGGUACUUGCUAGUUUUGCUCCUGGGAGCGGUGCUUUUCGCCGCUGCCGUCCUCUCCGACGGCCACCACCCUUUAAAAAGAGAGCAUAAACCACACCACAAGCACCACCCUGGUGGUCGCCGUCUCAUGGAGACCGUUGAAGGCAAGGACCCGCACAAGCCAUUCCCUAAACACAAGCCCCCACACCACGACCACCCUCUCGAGCACAUUCUUGUCGAGGAGUUGAAAGGAGGACUCCCACAAAAGCCAUUUCCCGGUAAGAAACCGCCCCACCACCCCCAGCCACUUGCUUGCCGAGGAGAGGAAGCCAAUGAAAAAAAGAAGCCAUUCCCCGAGCACAAACCCCCAAAGAAAGGCGACAAACCACCACCGAAGCACAAGCCGCCCCACGAGGGACACAUUCUCGUAGAGGAGGUGGAAGAGGACUCGAAGAAGCCAUUCCUUGAGCACAAGCCCCCCAAGAAAGGUGAGGAGCCCAAGAAGGAAAACGGAGAGAAGCCGCCACCAAAGCACAAGCCACCACACGAGGGACACAUUCUCGUAGAG
rnacentral:lncRNA from 1 species